AGUGACAGCGAUAACUGUGGUUUUGUAGUGUUUAGAGGGCAGUUUUCUUUUUGGAUCUCGGAGGACCAAAAGAUAAAGAAAGUGUAAGGUCAAAAUCUUCUUCAUCUUCACCUUCCAAAUCUUGCUGGCUAAUGAUGUUGUUGCUGCUGCUGCUGCUGCUUUGCUUUCUCUUCGUGGAGAUCUCUUGCUUAUUGGUUUCUAAAUCUUGUCGGCUUUUCAUGGUGUGAGUAAAAGAGGGAGAGAGGAAAACGAGAGAGAUGGAAUUUGAAAGGACAAUAAAAAUUGGAGAUAUAGUUAUGGAAGCAGAAUAUAUAAGAUAAAAAAGAGACUACUGGUCAUCUUUCUCUGUGUUUGUUAUGCUGUUCUUCCCCUACCGGCCGGUCACCUUUUUUACUGGGUCUUUUUCACUCUGUCUCAGCAAGUCUAUAAUUUAAUAAAAUCAAAGUUUGAAGAAGAUUUGAAAAUUUGUUUCACAUCUUUUAUCUGAAUUACAAAACAUCAAUUUUAACCCAUCAAUUCCACAAUUCCCUUCAAGCAUAUGUGAGCUAUAUCAUUUGCAAUGUGCUUUAUAAAAAAUCACAUUUAAAACCACAUCUAAUUUAAUUCUAUUCUCAAAUUAAUAAUUUUACAUCUAAAUCGUCUCUUUCUACGUCAUUUUUGUUGAAUUUUGAUGGUUCAUUCCAAUCCGCAAAGGAAUUGGAUAAUCAAAACUUUCAAUUUUAAUAUUAUAUUCAUCAUGGUCAAGAAGUUAUUUUUCCUAUUCAUAAUCUCUUAGACUCCUCACCCCUACCGAAUGAUGGGUUAAUUUUACAAUCCAUUUUCAUAUGUAUCAGAUUUUCUUCUACACAAGCUCAUCUUAUUUCGCCACCUCUUAUAGCCAUGGUUAUUUCAAUACACAGCAAGUAAAUAAAUUUCAAGAUAGUUAAAUUCUAAUAUCAAUUGACACAAAUAAAAAUACAAACAAGAAAAUAAUAAGUUAAAAAGAUAAAAUUAAAGUUGAAUAUGGUUAUCAUAUAAAAUCCUAAUUUAUAAUUUUAUUUUUAGAAUAAAAGUAUAAUAUGUUAUUCUAAAAUACAAGGUAAAUAACCUUAUUUAUACUGGUUUUAAAUUGAAAAAAAAUCUCAAUUAAUAAUUAUUAAGUUGUUUUAGGGAUACCUAAACUAAAAAGAAAAAAAAAUAGCAAUCUUAAUAUUGUUUGAUUUUCUAAAAUAAAUAGAAAAAAAUAAUCAUGAAGUAAAAAAGAUUCCUAAACUAAAUAAGAAAUAAUAAUAAUAAUUAAAAAAUAAUAUUUUUUCCCUAAAAUUCCUCCAAGCUCUAUAAACCAUAAAACUGGUCUAGACAUAUCUUAUAGCUAACUGGAUUCUUCAGAACUAUCACACCAAUUUUUAGAGCAUCAAAGUCGAAUUGAAGUAGGGUUAAGUUAUUAAUUUUAUUUAUAAAAAAAAAUUAUCAUGUGAUUUUUUUUCAAAUUCUAAAAAGUGGUAAGCAGAUGUGAUAUUAGUAUGACAACACUUACUUAGCUAUAAUACAUUAGGUUUUAAGUUGGAUUUAAUUCUGUUAAACCACGAAACACCAGCCUGCAUCAGAAACGACUGGUCGUAUUGAAAAGAGGCAAGCUUUUGCAAAUAUGAAAUAUCUCCUCCCUCCUCCCCUCUUGAUCCAUCCCCCUUGUUGAGUAAAAGCCCUUCCUUGUCUAUUUGGAGGACUUCAGGGUCCAAUAUCAAGCUUGGCAGUGGCUGUAGGAUUUACUUUUCUAGCGAUGAAGUAUAGCUCAGGCGAUACUCCCUCGGUGUUGAAUCCAAAAGAACUCCCGGCUGGAACGCCGGGGUUUCUUGGAUGUAGUAUUGGCACCAUUUAAGCCUAUGAAACUGGGUUUCGAUGAAAAUGAGUGACGCCAAGUAAAGUGAGUUUUUCUCACCUGAAAAAGGAGAGGAUGUCAUGCCACUAUCCACCGGCAUCCUUAUGGCCGCCGAGUAAAAUGCGUCUGCCGGGAGUCGAACCCGGGUCUAUUGCUUGGAAGGCAAUUAUCCUAACCGUUGGACUACAAACGCUUUUGUUGACUGAUCACUGUGUUUGAUAAAUUUUGAAUUCUGUUUCUGUCGCUUGUUUUAAAGAAAAGCGUGAAGUCGUCAUUUUAGAAUAAAUAAAUAAUUUUAAAAAAUCCUUAAAGAUAGUCCGUCCGUCGGGUCAACUCUCAAUUUGAUUUGUCAAGAAAUCCGAUUUUACGUCAGAUUAUAAAAUUAAUGUAUUGGUUUGAUUACUAUGAUUUUUAAAUUUGACGGGGGCAAAAAAAAAAAAAAAGCUCAUAUAAGAUGAGGCACCCUCUUCCUCUUCAUCAUCUAGAUUUUCCUAUACUUGUAGGUCCAAAAACAACAUAUUAUUGAUGCGAUUUAAUUCUAUUUUUUUCUGUGUUUUAAAAGUAUUUUUAAAAAAAAUUAAUUUUUUAGUUUUAAAUUAAUAUGUUUUUAGUAUUUUCAAAUUGUUUUUGAUGUGCUGAUAUCAAAAAUAAUUUUUUUAAAAUUAAAAAAUAUUAUUAGCAUGUAUUUUGAUACGAAAAGUUAUUUGAGAAUCAACCAGAACCAAAUUGCCAAACAAGCUAUCAGUAUAUGAAUGGAAAUUUUAUAGUUGGAAAAUAUGUUGCAAUGUCGCGGUCGCACAAAUUAAUUACCCUAGCUUAAAACACACAAGAUAGUAUAGAGAAAGCAAGAGGUCGAUCCCACGAGGAAGUUUGAAGUCAGAUUUUUAUGUUGUACAUUAUGUAAUUGGGGGGGAUUGAUUUGCAAUGAUUUAAACUAUGGCAGAAAUUAAACUAACAAACAAAAUCAAUUGAAAUUGAAAUAUAUCAAGAAAACAAACCUUGGUUGCAAGCACACAUCCACCAAUGAAAAUUAGAACCGAUCCUUGAAACGAAACUCCAGUUUAUAUCAUGAAUUUUAUCUUUUUUUAAUAUUGGUUAAUUAACGGAUCCGCCGUAUAACUAGCCCUAACCAACAAACAAUCACAGUGUCCGCACUAAUGAUUUAAUCCAAUGGCAGCCUUAAGAUCCAGAUAAAUUCAUUAAUCUUAACAACCAAGUUGUCAAUUUGUGUUGCUAUGAUCGAAUGUUCUCCCUAAGUUUAAUAACGUAGUUCCGCUACAAUUAUCAAGCUUAGUUGCUUCACAAGUUUAUAUACCACAACUCCGGUUUUGAUAUCAAACUUAGCAAUAGAUUGUUCACAAUAAUAACUUAGAGUCCGCUCUAGCAAUUAAGAUAAACAAUCAUAGGAAAUAUGCAUAGGAAAACAAUCAUACUCAUUCAUAACAUAAACUGAAAAUAAAAGGAAGAAUAAAUCUCACGGUUCUUGAAAUCCGAAGGUUUGUUGUGUCCUUGCAACCAAGAAAACGAGCUUAGCCUUGCAUAUCUAUUGAACAACUACUCCUAAAGAUGAAAGAAUACAUAAUUUCUGAUUUGUAGAGAGGAGAGUUUGUGUUUCCUCCCUUCUUGCUUCUUUCUACCUCCUUCUACUCACCCUCUAUUUAUACACAAAUUGUAAGUAAGAAAAUCAAAGUUCAAGUGUGAACAUCAAUAGAUGGUGGUAGUGUGAAGGCGGCUGGCGGCUGGCUGACUUGAGGUUGGUGGCUGGCUGCUGGCUGCUGGCUGCCUUGAGGUUGGUGGCUGCCUUCCUUGACCUUCUAGAAUAUUUACUAGAGGAGCUAAAUUGCUGGUCGGUUUGGAUGCUUCUGGAUGAAAUUUGGAUUCGUUUCUUCACGCAACCUGCUUGCUGGCAGAAUUCAGCUGUCAUCUUUGAAAAAUCAUAUCUCCCUCAUAUGACAUCGUUUUUGGCUGAAUUUUGGAGCGUUUAUAGAGCUUUGAGUAAGGAAUCCAAAACAAUUGAGUUUGCAUCAAUUAGACUUCUGAAGCGCCAGAUAUUGAAUUUUGAAUGGGAAAAGGUCAACAUUGGCAGACUGCGUGAUUUGACUUUGAAGGAUGUGAUUUCCAUGAUCUUUCUCUUUUUAUUUUUCUUGCAUUACAUUUCCAGACAGAAACGUAUGGAUGUUAGCUUUUUAAUUCCACUGGAAUCACUUCAUUUCGAUCUCUGAAACUCACGCUGUGCACAAAAUACCGACUGAACGUCAAAUCUGCCAAUUACCUCCAAUUUACUCCUUUUUGCAUCUUUCAUCCAAAAAUGCCUUCAAAACAUAAAACAAAGAAUAUCAAGGCAUUUUAUAUAAAUAACAUAUGCAAAACACUAGUUAAAUGCGGGUGAAACUAUCGAAUAAUAUGGUUACAUCAAAAUAGAUAUUAUGGAGAUGUAAAUUUUCUAUUAAAAUGGAGGUAGCUAGCUAGUUUUAUUACUUCUAUUCGAACCUAACCAACUGUCUGAGAAUAGUUUUCUAAAGCUGCAAGAUGUGUUCAACAUUUCCAGUUUCUACAAUGGAAUGAGUAGGCAUGUGUAAUUUCCUCGGUUAUUGGAAGACGUCAUUUCCAGUUUUUAUCUUUAAACACCAACCAAACACAACCUUAUAGAAUGGAAAGUAACAUGCAUACACAUUUUCAGUUGAAAAUCUACUCAUGCUCACUGUCUGAAAUAGUGUCUUGCAUUGCAAGUUAAUUCUGUUGGAAGUUAAGUUGAUUGCUUGUUGUUAAAGCUUCAGAAGUAAAUCAUGUGGUUAUAACGAGAAGAAUGAAGAAUGGAUGAAAGAAGAAGAUUCUGUUGCAAAGCAGUUACAGUAGUUAAAAAAUAGUUAAAUUAGUUAUAGCUGUUAUAACUUUUUUUUUUUGUUACAAACUGUUUCUUACAUGUGUAAGAAUCGUAGCCCUCAACUAAUGGAUGGUUGAGAUGAAUUGAUUCCAAAAAUCUAGAAUUAUGUUAUUAAUUACAUGUAAUGUGUAUAUAAGUAGAGUUCUGCACUAAUGGAAUAGUAAGAAAAAAGAAAUACAGAAUUCUCUUCUCAUCUUCUCUGCUAAAACUCUUCUACAAACUUUUCUUUUAGUCAUCUGAAAAUCUACAUGGUAUCAGAGCUCACAAACUGAUUCCUAAGAGGGGCGUAAACUGUGAAAAACAGAUUGACUAAAAUUGUUAAUUACUCAAAAUGAUAGGAUCAAGCUCUACUGGAGGAGAUUUAAGAACUCCACAGUUCAAUGGCACAAAUUAUGGUUUUUGGGCUGUAAAGAUGGAGACAAUCCUCAUAGCAUUCGAUCUAUGGGACGUAAUAGAAGUUGGAGUGCAAUCUCAUCAAUCACUUGAGGUUCCAAGUGAAUCAGGCGAUGAAGAGAGUGAAGCUGGGCAAACCACAUUGCAAACAUUUACUACAUCCAGAGAAGAAAAAAUCAAGAAUCCAAAAGCAUUAAGCCUUAUACAAGGAGCAUUAACAGACGAUCUUUUCCCACGUAUAAGAAAUGAGAAGACUACAAAAGGAGCUUGGGACAUCUUGAGCAGAGAAUUCAGAGGAGAUAAAAAGGUUAGAGCUGUAAAACUUCAAGUAGUGAGAGCUGACUUUGAAUACCUGAGAAUGGCAGAAAGUGAAAGCUUAGAUGGCUAUCUAUCUAAAUUCUUUGCAACCAUGAAUAACCUGAAAUCAUUAGGAGAAGAUGUAUCAGAAAACAAAAUUGUGCAGAAACUGCUAAUAAGUCUAAGCAGAAGAUAUAAGUCCAUUGUGUCAAUCAUUGAGGAGACACGAGAUCUUGAUGUUCUGAGAGUAGAAGUCAUUGCUUCUGUUAAAGUUUAUGAUAAAAAGGAGGAUCUACAUGAUGAAAGGGAUAAGCUAACAGGAACAUAAAAAGCAUUUAGCAGUUUAAAGAUUGGAAACAAUUCAUCUUAUAGCUCACACAAGGGUUUCCAAGGCAGACCUCCUCAAGAGAUGGCAAUCACAAGACAGGAGGAGACCAAAUCCAUUUCCAAACAGAAACUUAACCAACUACAACAAUUUAAGCUGGAACAACACUGUUUAAGGAAGUAGUCAAGCGAGUGUAAAACCACACUGCCAAGUCUUCCAGAAGCAACAUUUUGGAUUAUGUAGACACAAAGGAAAACCAAGAUGUGGAAAAUGCAACCGGGUUAGUCAUAUUGCAAAAGAUUGUGAGAGUCACAGUCACAAGCAGCUAGCAAAUUAUGCCAAAGAAGAGAGAGUUACCAUAGGAACCAUGUUUUAUGCUUGCCAUUCUGCAAGUUUGCAAGAUAGUGCUUGCAGCAACCACAUGACCUCUCAAGAAUCCGAACUAAUCAACAUUGAUAGAAUAAUAACCUGUAAAGUAAAGAUGGGCUCAGGAGACCUUGUGCAAGCAACUAGAAAAGGCACAUUGGUUGUGGAAACUCAACAUGGGAAAAGAUACAUAAAAGAGGUACUACUUGUUCCUGGAUUGGAUGAAAACCUAUUGAGUGUAGGGCAGAUGAUGGAGCAUGGUUAUUACAUUUUGUUUGGAGGUAACAAAGCAGUAAUAUUUGAUGAUGAAAGCCUUAACAAUGUUAUAGCCAUAAUGAUCAUGGGAGGAAAUUGAUGUUUCCCACUUUCACUUGAGUCCAUAACACCCACAACAAGGAAAGCUUCAGUGAUUGGGGAUUCCUGGAUAUGGCAUAGAGGACUGGGACACUUGAAUUUUACCAGCAUGAAGAAGAUGUAGCAGAAAGAGAUGGUAUGUGGGCUUCCUGUUCUGACUGAAGUAGAAGAUGUUUGUGUAGGCUGUGCAUCAAGCAAACAUCACAAGGAGAAAUUCGACAAAGAGCAAGUGUGGAGAGCAAGCUAUCCACUGGAAUUAAUCCACACUGAUCUGUGUGGACCAAUAUAGAAUGAAUCUGUGGGAGGGAACAAAUACUUCAUCACAUUCAUUGAUGAUUACUCAAGAAUGUGUUGGGUAUACUUCCUCAAAAACAAAUCUGAUGCAUUCAAUGUGUUUAAGAAAUUCAAAGCAUUCGUUGAGCUGCAAAGUGGAUAUAAACUAAAGAAGCUGAGAAGUGACAGAGGUGGUGAAUAUACUUCAAAUGAGUUUGAAGAAUUCUGUGUAAAACAAGGAAUGGAGAGGCAGCUGAUAAUUGCAUACUCUCCUCAACAGAAUGGAGUUGCAGAGAGGAGAAACAUAACAAUUUGUGAAAUGGCAAGGUCCAUGCUGAUAGAAAAAGAAAUGCCAGUAAUCUUCUGGGAAGAAGCUGUGAAUACAGUUGUGCAUAUUCAAAACAGAUGUUAUACAACAUCAGUUAUCAAAAAGACUCCAUUUGAAGCCUUCACGGGUAGAAAGCCAGGAGUCAAGCAUUUAAAUGUCUUCGGUUGCUUGUGCUACACUCAUAUCCCAUCAUCACUAAGGCAGAAAUGGGAUAGCAAAGCUGGAAAGGGAGUGUUUGUUGGAUAUGGUAGCUGUGAGAAAGGGUAUAGAAUAUAUGACCUGAAAACUGAGAAGAUUGUUCUCUCAAGAAGUGUGAUUUUCAGUGAAGAUAGAGCAUGGAAUUGGGAAAGAAAUCUGAUGAACCAAAGCCACUUGUCCUUCAAUCUUGAAGGAGGUGAAGUUGAAGGUGAAAAUUCUAAGGAACACUCUGCUGCAGUCCAACCCGAUAAUGUUGAACAUUGCAAUCAAAAUUCUACAGUUGGAGAGUUAGCUGAGAAGAUUGACAGUGAUAACAGUCAACAAUCUUCACCUAGCUCUACUCCAGUAAAAUUGAAAACCUUGGAAGACAUAUAUGCAAGGUGUCACAUGUGCAUCAUAGAACCUGAGAACUAUCAAGAAGCUUUUGGAGAUAAAGCCUGGCAGGAGGCUAUGAAGGAAGAAUUGGAAGUGAUAGAGAAGAACAAUACUUGGGAAUUGGUGGAGAGACCAAUUGAUAAACCUGUGAUAGGAGUGAAAUGGGUGUACAAAACUAAGCUUCAUCUUGAUGGAACAGUUCAAAAACACAAGGCUCGCCUUGUAGCAAAAGGAUAUGCACAGAAAUCCAGAAUUGACUACAAUGAAACAUUUGCACCAGUAGCAAGGCUAGACAUAAUCGGACUCUCAUUGCACUUGCAGCACAAAAGGGGUGGAAAUUGUUUCAAUUGAAUGUUAAGUCAGCAUUCCUAAAUGGUGUUCUUAAAGAAGAAGUAUAUGUUGAGUAGCCUGAAGGGUUUGAAGUAAAGAAUGCAGGACACAAAGUUUACAAACUAAGGAAGGCCUUAUAUGGACUAAAACAGGCACCGAGGGCCUGGUACAGUGAAAUUGAUGCAUAUCUUUCUAUGUGCAAAUUCAAAAGGAGCACAAGUGAGGCUACUUUGUAUACAAGGUCUGAUCGAGAAGGUAACUUAAUCAUUGUUUCAAUCUAUGUUGAUGACAUUGUAUAUACUGGCAGCAGUGAAAGGAUGCUUAGUGAAUUCAAAAAAGAAAUGAUGCAGAGAUAUGAGAUGUCUGAUCUUGGACUUCUUCAUCAUUUUCUGGGCAUGGGAAUACUGCAAACUGAUUAAAGAGUAUUCAUCCAUCAAAGCAAGUAUGCAAAGUCCUUGCUUAGGAAGUUUGGGCUUGAGGACUGCAAACCAGUCUCUAUUCCUUUGGUCACUGGUGAGAAACUGAAGAAGGUGGAUGGGAGUGAGUUGGCUGAUGAAGGACUUUAUAGAAAAAUAGUAGGAAGUUUACUAUAUUUGACAGCAACAAGACCUUAUCUGAUGUAUGCUGUAAGCUUAUUGUCAUAGUUCAUGACUGGACCUACCAAAAUUCACAUGGGAGCUGUAAAGAGAGUCCUAAGAUAUGUGCAAGGAACUCUCAGCUAUGGGAUUGAAUACGUAAGGGAUCAAGCAGCAACUCUUAUUGGAUUUUGUGAUGCAGAUUGGGCAGGAAGUGAAGAUGACAGUAGGAGCACCUCUGGUUAUGCAUUCAGUUUUGGAAGUGGAGCAUUCUCUUGGGCUUUUGUGAAACAGAACACAGUGGCAUUAUCAACUACAGAAGCUGAGUAUGUUUCAGCAUCUGAAGCAACAACUCAGGCAAUAUGAUUAAGAUUUGUUCUUGAUGAUUUUGGUGAAAUGCAAGCCGAAGCCACAACUUUGUUCUGUGAUAACAUGUCAGCAAUUUCAAUGGCUAAAAAUCCUGUCUUUCAUCAAAGAAUUAGACAUAUAAACAAGAAGUAUCAUUUCAUAAGAGAGGCUCUGCAAGAGGGAGUAAUAAAUAUAAAAGUUUGCAGAAGUGAAGAACAACUUGCAGAUAUCUUCACAAAAGCAUUGCCUAAAGAUAGAUUUAAGCAAUUAAGAUUGAAUGUUGGAGUUAAACUAGUAAGCAGCUUAAGAGAGGCCGUUGGAAGUUAAGCUGAUUACUUGUUGUUAAAGCUUCAAAAGUAAAUCAUGUGGUUAUAACGAGAAGAAUGAAUGAAAGAAGAAGAUUUUGUUGCAAAGUAGUUAUAGCAGUUAAAAAAUAGUUAAAGUAGUUAUAGCUAUUUUUUCUGUUACAAACCAUUUUUUACAUGUGUAAGAAUCGUAGCCCUUAACUAAUGGAUGGUUGAGAUGAAUUGAUUCCAAAAAUCUAGAAUUAUGUUAUUAAUUACAUGUAAUGUGUAAAUAAGUAGAAUUCUGUACUAAUGGAAUAGGAAGAAAAAAGAAAUACAUAAUUAUCUUCUCAUCUUCUCUGCUAAAACUCUUCUACAAACUUUUUUUUAGUCAUCUGAAAAUCUACAAAUUCAGACUUCGAUAAGAACAUCUAGGAAUCAAAAGCUUUCACACAUUCCACUCAAAAGAGUCCUUAAAACACAGUACUCGCAAUUUCUUCUAGUUCGAAAGAAAAUACCAUUGCUAAGAACUCUUGUCAAUGGAUCUCUUGUCGACUAAUAAUUUGGAAAUCACCACGCAUAAUAAGAAAAUGAAAGGUAGAAGACACAUCUUAAUUGGAUUAUCUUUCUCCUGACGAGUAUACGUAUACUCCACAGUCGAAUAAACACAUUGCCAAACAGCACCAGCCAAUCCAAAAUACUCAACAAUAGUGCCAACAGGCUUUCUAGUUGCGGAAGUAGAAGUUGAUCGGGGCUGAAAACAUGGCAAUAGGUUCAUGUCCGCCAGUUUAAUUCUUUCCUUUCGAGCCAUGUGAAUGAGUUCAACGGCAGCAAGAAGCAAAGCUACAAAUGCCAAGACCAUGCCAAUUAAUGCAUAACCCAUUUGGUCAAAAACCGCAGAUGCAAUCUCUAGGAUUAAGUUUGUCACCAGCAAAGUCCAUCCUGAUAUUUCCUGUACAAGAAAGUGGUUAGUUGUAAACAAGGCAGUUAAGAAAAUCUCACCAAUUAUCAAAAGCGUUGUUUCCAUAGUUCUUACUCUAGGACGUGAGCUUUCUCCAGCAUCCAGCAGCUGUUCUACCUCUACAGUAAUGUUCACAUGCUGCACAAUCCACAAUGACAUAAUGUAAGAUAAUUGAUAAUACACAAAACAAUACAAUUAUGACUGGCAGAAACUCAUAAUGUGAGAUUAUCUCAUCUACUACUAUAUAUCACCUGGUUCACAUCAUUAACAUUCAUCGAGUCGUCUUGGCUAGGGACAGAUGGAGCAAGAUUUUCAACACGAUUAUCUGCAAAGUUGGCCAAAUAUCCAUAUAUAGGUUGUGAUAUCAACCUUCGAAGAAUUAUUUCAAAAAGAAGAGAGACAAAAAAGAAUUCCAUGUGUUUAGAUAUAUAAUUUGCUUUCAUGCAUGAUUUAUUUUAAAUAUUAAAAAAUAAUAUAAAUUAAAGAAUAAUACUUAAUUUUUUUUUAUUAAAUUAAUUCUUUAAUAUAAUAUUAAAGUCUUAAUAGCAACAUACCAAUUGCUUGUAACUCUGGAAGAGGCUGCUGCGUCUUCCGCGAAGCUAAGGAAGGUAACUGCAUUAUCAAAACACAUUAAAUAUUUUUCAUGGAAGUCGUGGUGGGAAUUGGAAAAUUCUUAAAAUCAAGAGUUUCAAAAGAAAUAAAGUAUAGACCUUCUCCAUUAAAUUUUUAUUUGCAAUUGAUUGUUGAAAAGCCUGGUCAUUCCACGAACGUAACUCAGAAAACUGCAUGCAUCAUCAAAACAUCAAAUAUUUUUCAUGGAAGUCGUGGCGAAAAUUAGAAAAUUCUGAAAAUCAAAAGUUUUUCAAAAGAAUAAGAGCAUAGACCUUCUCCCUUAGAAAUUCUAGAACACUAAUCUGAGUUUGAAUCAGGCGUGCAUUUCUUGUAAGAGCCUGUAUCUGAGACAUUAGGGAUUUUAUUUACUUACCUGGUCUAACUGGGUCAACAAAGUGCGAUUUCUAUCGGGUUUUCUUCAAAUCUACAAAAAAAAAAAAAAGUUAGACACGAAUUGAAGGUACUUUUUCCAGCUGGCGCAAAUCAUUAUCGCUAAAUGACAACCAGCAGCCUGUUAGGCACCAACGAAUAAUAGGAAAGUUGAAGAGUUUCUUCAGUAUGCUAGGAUCUAAGAUUGAUGCCAAUACCACAAACCAGAAAUGCAUAUUAGGUAUCAUGUGACUCAAAGUAAUUGUUAAUAUUACAAUUAAAAAAUAAACUAUUAUGUUAUUAAAAACUAUGGUAAAAUUGAAUUUUAAUUUAAAUAUUAUUUUAUUUUAGGGAAUGUGAUUUCAACUGAUUUUCCAAACAGUCUUUUCUUGGAAUACCGCCGUAGGCUUUUUACAUUAUUUUUAAAAUGAUAAUUUUUUGAUUGUUUUUGAUAUUUUAAUCAGAUGAUAUUAAAAAUAAAAACAUAUUAAUUUAAUGUAUUUUUAAUUAAAAAAUAUUUUAAAAAAUAAAUAAUCAUAUUGUGAUUUUUUUAGUUAAAAAGAAGGUAUAGAAAUCAACGGUGAAGCAAAAACAUGAAUCAGAAACCACAUAUUUGAAAAUUAUUAGUAAACUAGAAACUAAUACGAUCACCUCGUCAGAUAAUGAUGUUGAUGGUGGAUGGAGGGAAUGGAGGGAUUGCUCAGGUUCACGUCGAUUACGUAGUCCAAGCGUCAGAACAGCUUCAUCUUUCUCUGGUUCCGUUGCCUCCCAUUUCACUUCUUCCUCUUCUAUUUUCAUGACCACCACUCUUUGUGCUUCCUCCGCGUAUCAGUACGUACUGAUGUCAGUGCCAAAACUAAUCACAACCGCAAGGAUAGGAUUAAGCAAAAUUAAUCACAUACAAAAUAGUAGGAUUUACCCUUCCCUUCUGUUUGCUCUCUGUAAUUGAAAAUCUGUUACCUGGUUUGAUAUCUAGCAGAUUCCUUGGGAAAACAAAUGAAAAGAGGUGUUACUCGUUUCUCCUUUUGAAGUCGAUGAAGAUCUAAAUCAUUAAUUGCUAGUUAGUAACCUAGCCAGAAGUCACAUGGAAACUUCUUAAGGGCUUCAUCUCCGCGUUAAUUCACUGUUUCUUGCAAGAUUGCCUUUGUAUCAUUGUCAUAAAGUGAGAGAGAAAAAAGUAGAAUUUGAUUCAAACAGUGUUAUAAUAAAGACAACGAAUAGAGAACAAAUACUUAAUAAAAGGGAGGGGAAUUUUUUGAAUACCCAACUUCCUCUCCGUUUCCUUCCCUUCGCUACAUGUCGGUUCGCAAUGAUAACAGGGGCAGUAGGAUCCUCCCAUCAUCCUUUCCUUUCAAACCAUGUGAAUGCGUUCAAACUUGGGUUGACCCACAACCCAAGCUUUGGGUGAGGACUAUUUCAAGAACGAAUUUUAUCGUUGAUAAAGUCGCCCUCUCUUCGUACUUGUACUUUUUACAGAAUGAUCAAGUUCGCUGGGUAAUGAUCAAGUUUUUUGUUGUGUAGAGUUUCCCUUCUAUUUGGAAGAUGGUCAUGUGAGGAUGGUCUAUUUAUUUAUGUUAGAUUAAAUCCAAAUCCAUCAAGUUUCGAUUAAACACUUCCAUCAUAGUCGUCGUCGUCAUGGUUCGAUUGAGUUGAAAUCUUGCAGCCACACUAACAACACGAGGCUCUAUAAUCUGAUCACUGUAGAUCGAAUGGUACUUUUGUUGGUGAGCAGUAGCAACUAUUUUGUGGUGGGAUGUUUAUAGAAUCUCUUAUAAUUUUGUUUUGUUGCCAGAAAAUUAUUACAUCUCUAAUCCUAUUUAAACAGAACAGUUGCAGCCCAUUGUUCACAGUGGGAAUUUUGGAGGUUUCGUAAGAACCUUGUCUCUGUUUGUGAUUGAUUUGGGUUUCCCAAAUCAAUCUACCAUUUCUCUCAACACCGUAUGCUUUGGUAUAUAGCCAGCUUUAUUAUUUUAUUCUAGUCAUGGUUAUAAAACUUAAAUUCCUAGCGGGUUGAUUGAGGAUGUGAUUGAUCUCAGAUUUAGAUUAAUUUGAGUAAAAAAAAAUAAAAAAAUAAAAGGUACCCUAGUUUUUCAAAACUCAACCCUCAAUUUAUUUAAUUUUUUAUUUAAAAAAAAAUUAAAAAUAUACUCGAGUUCAUCCUCCUGACUUGUAACUUAAAUCUUAUUCAAAUCAAUUUUGAAAUUGAAUUUUAAAAUUGUAAUAAUGGUGAAAACCGAUUGAAUUUUAUACUGUUGGAUUUCAAAGCUGUUCUAGUGAUGCAACCGAAUGAAUUUUAUACUAUUUUAGGUUUGGAGCAAAUUAUCUUUCACUAAUCUUUUAUAUUAUUAGAGAGAAUUAAGUAACUGAGGUGAAAAUGACACAUAUAUGCAGACUGCAAUUCCUAGUUUAGUAUCAUCGGUGGAAUCAAUGAUUCGUUUUUUUCUUUUGGCUCUCAUUGCUUUGGAACAACCAAUCAAAGCCGUUCGGCAUUGUUUUUUCCGGUCUCCAAGAUGUUCUUUUUUCAGAUCACACUUUGUCUUUCACAUUGACUUUUACCUAUCAAAUUUCCUUUCUAGUUUUGGCAAGUAUGGCUAGAUCCCGAUGGAUUUAGUGAACUUUCUCAGCACCUCGCUGUGCUGGUUCGGUUGAGCCAAAGCUAAGAUGGUCUCAAGUCUCAACUUACAUAGGGUGCAUCACAUCAAUGGACAGUCAAACUGCCAAGAAGCAGCUCCAAACAGGAACUUUCAGCCUUGUAGAUGUACCGAAUCCUGAUGUUGAGAUGCUCCAAAGGAAGCACUACAUGGAACUAGUCCAACUGACAUGCAUCAUGGCCUCCAUAAUUGGAAGAGCACGUCAACAUGACCUAUCAUUUCAUUAGUUCAUUCACGGGGGAGGGUUUUAUUUUCUAUACUGUAAAACUUCCUGCAUAAUCACUUCAGGACAUAAAUAGAAUCGAAGGGUGUAGGGAGGCAUCAAGGUGAUCAAGAUUCUUGUUGCAUAGUCUUAAACAAAGUUUUGGAUAGGUUGGUAUUGGACAAAAUCUAGCAUCUUCGUAACACCCAAUAUUCUCUAAACACCACAUUAGGGACUCAUGUCUUUACUGAAAAAUAAAAAUAAAAACUACAAGUUGUCAUGAUUUUGUAAAGCAAACUGAUGUCCUUGAUAAGAGCAAGCCAUUUGAAUAAUCUCCCAUUUUUUGCUUGCAAAAUCUAGUAAGCUGAAACUAGUUGGCAAUUUGCAUGAUGCUAUCAUCAAUUUCCUUUUGAUAAAGUGAUUGAAAAGGAGAGGAAUUAAGUUAGAGAGACAGCUCGUUAAUUGACUUAACAUUGCUAGAGUAUAAAUGUUUGAGCUGUUCGAUAUUGCAAUAUCAUGAUCAAGUUAUUAGGUAACGUUUUCUGAUGUUUUGAAGGAAGUUCAAGAUCCUUUCAAGCCAUUUUAUCAUUCUUCUAGAGAGCUUUUUCGUACCCGAGAAGAAUCGUUAAACGUUUCCGGAUGUGUUCUACAUUUUCACUUUCGUCUAAGCCUUGCAAUGGGGCAGAUAAUGGCAAGUUCUUGCGCUCAAAAUCCUUGGUUACAAGAGCAAGAGCUGAAGUGCUCGCAGCUCGUAACCAUUUCAAGUCAACAGUUGCAAGAAUUUCAAAAAGCGAGUCCUGAAGUUGGAGAGCAAGAGACAAGUAGAGUUUGUGAAGAAAGGUGUCAUUGACUAUAUUGUCCCUCGAAAAUCUGCAGAAGGACAUGUGAUCGAAAGUGCUUGGCAAAACAUAGAUAUUGCCAGAAAAGCUGAUUCAAGAAUGGUGAUGAACAAUUAAUCAUAUUGUUUUGGAAUUCUGCAUUUUGUUUUGGGAUCACAUCUCAUCCUUCAACGAAACAUGCCUUGCUUUUGUCUCUUUGUUGUUUUGAAAUCAACAGAUGUUUAACAUUUUAUUCUGACAAAAUAUUUUGAUCAAACUCCAACAUACGAUAAAGGUUAAUCAAUCCUGAAGAUUAAAAGUGUUUUGAUUAUAGAAAUGACUCAAUGCUUAUUGAAAUGACAUGAGGUGACCAAAACAAACUUUGAGCCCUUGCAUGAAAUUGAACCACACAUCAUAUAGCUAAGUUUUAGCAGUAUGCAUAAUGACAUGUAGUGGAUUCUGUAGUUAUGGACUCGUGAAUCAUGAUUCUUACAAGUCCCAAUCAUUACACUGGAUGGGGUCAAAAUUUAUCGGUUCUAACCGACCUUGCUUGAAAUGAGAAAAGGCCAUCUUUGAUAUCCCUUCACUUUCUAAAGAUUAUAUCCCUUGUAAUCCCAUUUUGAGCUGGAUAGAAUAUUCUUUUCGUAAAAACCCUGACUUGGAUCACACCCCACACUGGGGGCAAAUGAGAGAUAUUUUGAAGAUAUUGAUAUAAUUAAUGGAUAAAGAGGAAGGCUUAGAACAAAACUCCAAUGAUUGAGAGAGAGCUAAAAGAAAACACGUGGACUAUAGCAUAUAAGGAAAUUUUGAGGAAGGCUAUGAGAAAGCGAAGCGAAGCAAAAAAGAAAAAAAAAAGAGAAUGCCUAUCAAGUCUAGGAAGAGCAAAAGAAAUUUCAAUCUAUACCAGAAAAAAAGACUUAGCUAUAAAUGUGACUUUUGGUAUCCAUUAUAAAGCCUAUGAUGUCAUCAGAUGAUUAAGGUUGGUUAUUCAUCAAGGAAAGGGGGAUUUGCAUUAUGACCUAUGUUAAGAAGAAUUGUGAUAUUUGAGAUUAACAAGGUUAUAUGUCACUUUCUCUACAAUGACGACAAGAGAAAGAGAAUCGAUAAAUAGUUAAUGUUGAUCCUAAGUCGUUGAAACCGUCAAACACCUUUUGAGCCUUUGAAAUUCUUUUCUUUCAUAGCCAUGAACCAUAGCCUGCAUUACGUGCCUUUAAAAGUCCUUUUUAAUCAAGCAAGCAAUUUGAAUUGAUAAAUGGCGCUCUCGAAACUUGAAGAGCUUUUCCAUAAGGGUCGUUACUUCAUGAAUUAAGCUACUAGUUAUUAUGCAUGUUGAUAAAAUAAAUGCUAAGAAAAGAAACAACCUUUCUUGAUAAAGCCUGAGUAUCUUGUUUUUGAAAUCCAUAAAAAUGUCACCUCAUCACAGACCAUCAAAAGAUAUACCCAAAAUCAGAGUUUAAAGCGGACACAAAGAACCAUGGAAAAGACCAUUUUAAUCUUACAAAGAGUCGAUUGCUUUUUUCAAAAUACAAGACAAUCGAAGGAUUACAUUGGAUGAAGUGUGUUGAUCAAAGAAGCUUGAAUUUCAAAAAUACUUUUCAAAAACUGAUAUCUCUCUGAUUUCAUUUCAACAAUUAGACUUGAAUAGACAUGACCUUUGAAGUAUGAGAUUUGAUUCUAGAACAAGAAAGAUUGUCAAACAAAGAAGAACAUUCAUUGAGUUUGCGGAAUCCUUGACCUGAAAUGACAUCAACUCUUCUCAAAACUCAUUGAAAGGUUGAACACCUGGGGGCAAUACAGUGGACCCUAAGAAGGAAAACAGACAGUAUCUAGAUCAGCUGGGGGCAAAGAAAGAAUCAGAUGAUGAGUCAUCAAAGUCCCAGAAAGUUUUAACAUCUGACAAUGAUAAAGAAAAACCUUCUUGAGUAUAAACCGAUGAACAAACCUUCAGAUCAUAUUGGGGGCAAUGUUGUUCAAAGACAAUCCACGAUCUAAUGCACUUCAGCAGCAAUUGAUGAGCAACGCUGCACUAGAAGGAUAUUUUCAUAUCUUCAUCUUGGUUUAUCAUCUUCAACAUGGUUAUGACUUUUGAUCGAUGUUAUCACAUAGUUGCAUGUGCAUGAAUGUUGGAGGAUGCACCCACCAAGACUGACUGUGGGACCAUUUGUUUUGAAGCUCAAAUGCACACUUCACCGCAUGAAUAUGGGUGAUAACAUAAAACAUCAUUGAUGAUGCCAAUACAUUUCUUUUCAAGAUCUGAUUAGAUGGGUGAGAAGAACUUUUUGAGGAAAACAUUGAGCAUACAACGAUGAGGCUUUCACUACAAGUUGUGAGAUCCAUGUUUGGAUGACUUGGUAGUUUCUGAGAAGGUUGAUGAUAACAUAUACUUGAAAAGUAUUGUUUCGAAUGGAGGCAUUUUCAGACUGAUUAACAAUCUUGAUGGGUGUUGGCAUGAUACACACAACCAAUCAGAAGAUAAUUCCCAGAAGAAUCUAAGAGAGAACAUCCUUCAUAAUAAAUCAAGCAACACCACACUUGGGGGCAUUGUCAAGCUUGAUGAACCAACGAGCAGUAAUCGUCGAAGACAUCCUAAGAUAUGCAUUGUAUAUACAGCUGAAUAAUGGCCAGCACAUGAAUGAGCCAAUGCAUCGAAAGAACAAAGAAAGCUUUGGAAUGCAAACAAGGGCACCCUACUGUUGUAACCCAUUUUUGGGUCCCCACAUAAAAAAAAAUAUAUUAUCAAAAAAUAUAACAGUGAAAAAAUGCCAGAGCGCCCUAAAAAUGUUCAAAAAUUGAUUGAGGAUGUUCAAAAAUAUAAAAAUUAAAUUUUGACAGUAUAUCAUUGACUGAUGAGAGCCCCGAUGAUAAAGAAAAUUCAAUUUGAGGAAGAAAAAUGCAAAAUUAGAAGUUUAUGGACUCAAUUAAAUUUUAUUGAAGGUUUAAUUGAAUUUAUAGAGGUUUUAAUUGCAAAAACAAUUGAUUUUGGAGUUAUUUUGGGCUUUAAUUGAAAGAAAUUAAUUUUCUGGGGUCAAAUUAUAAUUUUUGGAAGUUAAUUUGGUCAAAUCAGGGGCUUAAUUGCAUAAAUAUUGAAGUUUAAUGGCCAAUUAGGGACUAAAUUGAAGAAAUCCGAGACCAAGGACGAAAUUGUAAAACGCGCGUAAAUUGAGGGCCUUCUUUGAAAUCUGACGCGUUUUGGCGCCUUUUCUUUUAAAUGAAACGGCGCGUUUUGACCAAAACGGCGCCGUUUCAUUCACUGUUGCAAAAAAAAAUAAAAUUCAGAAGCCCAAAACGGUGCCGUUUUGAUGGCACUGUAGGUCUUCUUCUUCCCCUGGACGCGCGAGGCAGGGGAAGAAGAAGAUUUUUCUUCUCCCUUUUCGCCUAACUUCUUUCCCCGUUUUUGCGCAAUAAGACGCCCACCAUUCGGCGCCCACUUGCCUCCUUUUUCUCCACUGAUCGAUAGUGGAGGGGGCGGCCAACAGUGGCCACCCCACCGUGACGUCCUUCCCCUGUUUUUGCCUAUAAAAACAGGGGAAGCAGACCGAAGAAAGGAGAGGAGAAGAGAGGGAGAGAAGGGGAGGAUUUUAACGACAGAAAGAGAAAGAGAGAGGCGAGAGAAACAAAACGAAAAAACAGAAAAAAGAAGAAGAAAGAGACGCGACAGAGGAGAGAACAAGAAAAAAAAACAAAGAGAAAGAGAGAAGGAGGACCGCCGCUAGAACCACCGUGACAGCAGCACCGCCUCCGCCAGAACCGCCUCGACGCCACCCCGGGUACCCUCCUGCUCCCCGAUCAUUUUCUUCUCCUGCUGCCCCGCCUUGCACUUGCAUGCAGAACGUGAAUAAUUCACGUUCUGCUGCAAAAUGCAGCGUGGGCUGGGCCGUUCAGCCCAGCCCAUGUAAAUGGGCUUGGCCGGCCCAGCCCAUGCAUUUGGGCCGGGUCCGGCCCAUAUAAUUUUUAUUUUUAUUAUUUUUUUGUUUAUUUUUUUGUUUUUUAUUUUCAUUUUUUGUUAUAUAUUUAUUUUCCAGCACAUUUCUUUUAUCAAUGUUUAUUUAAUAUCAGUCUGUUUUUUAUAUCACAAUAACAUAACUCCGGUAUUCAAAUACCCGGUUUUCGUCCAACAGUAUUGUUCACACGACACUAUUUACGGAACUGUUCACACAUGCAUAAAAAAAACAAAAAUAUUUGUUUCAGCAUUUUAUCGUAAACGAACCAACAAUUCAAAAACCACAACACGAUUUUAGAUUUUAUUAGACAUUAAAACAAUGCAGCCUACCUUAGGUAGGGCGUAGUUGGGGUGCUAAUACCUUCCCUUUACGCAACCAGUCUCCGUACCCGAUCUCUAAAGACCAGUUAAGGUUCCUAGUAACCAAAAAACUAGGUGGCGACUCCCAUUUCAAUUUUUCACUUGUAGAGACAAGAAUUUCCUUGUCUCUCUCCCUAUUUUCAAGGAAUAAAUAUUCCGAUUUUUUCCUUGAGGGUGGACGAUCACCGCGCCGCCGCACACGGGCAACACCUACGACGACGGAGCAUCAAAGAGGGGGGGCCUAUAUUUCAAAUCAGGUAAGAAUGCAUGCAUAUCAUAAAAAAAAAACAAAAAAAACAAAAAAAACAAAAAAAAAACAUUUGCACAUAUUUUUGAAUUGUUACAGGAAAGUCCUUAAUGAAGUCCAGCAAGAUGGUGGAAAAAGAAAGAAGCAUUGUGGUGAUGAUAAUAAUGAAUCGGUUUUAAUCAUGGAAUAAAAGGACGAUGGGAUGAACCCUACCAUUAGGAAAAUCCCAAAGAAAUGAAUACAUCAACCUUGCAAUCGGGAAGCCUCGAGUUUUCAACCCUUGCAAUCAGGAAAUACCAAUUUUCAAGCCCUAUGAUCGAGAAUUAUCAGGAAGCACCAAGUUUUUCAGCCCUUCUUCUGUCAUCCCCUCAGGACUUGGCCAGGUAAGUCCUAUUUUUCACUUGUCAUAUCACAUUCUUUCUAUUUGGGUAGGUCGCCCAUCACAACGAGACUGUUUUUUCAUAUUUUUUCCAUCCGGGUAGGUCACCCAUGACAAUGAGACCGCACUUCAUCAUAUUUUUUCCAUCUGGGUAGGUCACCCAUUACAAUGAGACCACACUUCAUAUUUUUUCCAUUUUUGGGUAGGUCACCCAUCAUAAUGAGACCGCACUUCAUAUUCUUUCCACCUAGGUAGGUCACCCAUUACAAUGAGACUGUUUUUUUUCACAUUCUUUUGUUUUGGUUAAAUGAGGUCGCCAAAUGGGAUCUCAUGUAGCUUUGGUUAAAGGGAAUCGCCAAAUGGGAUUUCAGGUUGACCGAGCUACACACAGUUUUAGUUCCAGUUUGAAUGAGGUCGCCAGAUGGGAUCUCAUGUAGCUUUGGUUAAAGGGAAUCGCCAGAUGGGAUUUCAGGUUAACCGAGUUACACAUAUUUUCGUUCCAGUUUAAUGAGGUCGCCAGAUGGGAUCUCAUGUAGCUUUGGUUAAAGGGAAUCGCCAGAUGGGAUUUCAGGUUAACCGAGUUACACACAGUUUAGUUCCAGUUGAAUGAGGUCGCCAGAUGAGAUCUCAGGUAGCUUUGGUUAAAGGGAAUCGCCAGAUGGGAUUUCAGGUUAACCGAGUUACACAUAUUUUCGUUCCAGUUGAAUGAGGUCGCCAGAUGGGAUCUCAGGUAGCUUUGGUUAAAGGGAAUCGCUAGAUGGGAUUUCAGGUUAACCGAGUUACACACAGUUUAGUUCCAGUUUAAUGAGGUCGCUAGAUGGGAUCUCAUGUAGCUUUGGUUAAAGGGAAUCGCCAGAUGGGAUUUCAGGUUAACCGAGUUAAACAUAUUUUCGUUCUAGUUGAAUGAGGUCGCCAGAUGGGAUCUCAUGUAGCUUUGGUUAAAGGGAAUCGCUAGAUGGGAUUUCAGGUUAACCGAGUUACACAUAUUUUCGUUCCAGUUGAAUGAGGUCGCCAGAUGGGAUCUCAUGUAGUUUUGGUUAAAGGGAAUCGCCAGAUGGGAUUUCAGGUUAACCAAGUUACGCAUAUUUCGCUCCAAUUGAUGAGGUCGCCAGAUGGGAUCUCAGGUAAACCCAAUUAAAAGGGCAGGUCGCCCGUGAAAAUAGACCAGUGUGAGUGUGGGUCGGUCGCCCGUGAAAAUAGACUAGGGUGAGUAUGUGUGGGCAGGUCGCCCGUGAAAAUAGAUCAAUGUGAGUGUGUGGGCAGGUCGCCCAAGAUAAUGAAAUCAUUUUCCUUUUGUUUUCUUUACAAAGCUUACUAUGCAAAAUUUUGAGGAGUUUUGCUUCGUAAGCAUUGUAAAGAGGGGGCAUCUGUUGCUACCCAAUUUUUGACCCAUGUUUUGAUAUAUUUUCAAAAAAUCCAAAAAGUUGAGAAAAACAAAGAAAAUCCAAAAAAUAUGUUUUUUUAAUAUAUUUUCGUCAUUUUAGCAUUUUCAACGUCGUCUAAAAAAGAAUUUAAAUUGUUAAAAUAUUUUCAAACGCGUUCGACUUUUCACGCGUCAUUUUUAAAUCAUUGAUUUUCCGCAUUUGAGUCGACGUUGAUAUUGCUCGUUUUCGAAAAAUACAAAAAAAUAAGAAAAAUCAAAAUUUACAAAAAGAAAGAAGUUGAGGGACCAAGUUGAAAAACCUAGCAAAAGUUUUCCUAUAAAUAUCAUGCUAAACUGAUUUUUGAAGGGGGGGCAUUUUAGAAACAUCAGAAAAUACAAAAACAAACCCUAAAUCCAUCUCUAACAAGGGAGCCGCCAGCCUCCACAAUUGAAUUUUUUUCUACACUGCAAAAAACGGCCACACAGUAGCCCCCCCGGUUUGAAUCUCUCCAAUCCCCGGCCGUUCCUUUUUCCGUCAACCCUUCCACCGCCAGUGACAGAAACAACAACAGCAGCCGAGGUCCUCCACCACAGAGCCAUUUUUGUCCUCUCGCCAGCCAAAGUUUUCGCAUCCCCUCACCUGACAUUGUUCCCCGAAGCCAUUUACAGCCUUCUUCUCAACCAAAAAACCAGAGGCUCAAGCCCCCCCGGUUUUCCCCAUUGCAACGAACCGGCAGCAGAUCCAGCCGAAGCCCCCUUGCUCAGCAGCGUCUUCUUCUCCUCUCAAUAGCAGCGCCUCCACCCAAAUCAACCCGCAGCUCCGGCGCUUCCCGGGUCUUCUCCCCUCAGCCGAAGCUUCCCUUUUCCUGUUGAAGACGAUCGCUGCUUCCCCAGCUUGGACCCGUGGGUUUCUUCUCCUCACGUCGCCUCAGCAGCAUCGUCUCCUUCUUCGGCCGAACAGCGCCAUCCACACCGUCCGCCAGCAGCGCCGUCCAUAGAUCCACCAUCAGCCAGCAGCACCGCCCGAUCUGCAACCGGCACCAGACCCUCUCCUCUCGGCGAAGCCCUAGGAAUAGACCAGGGAACGAAGAACAUGAAGCAGAUAAUGAUGGAAAGCAAAGGAAAACAGAUCGGAAAAAUUAAUUAAAACAGAUUGCUUGUGGGUUUUCUUUUGGUUGCAGGUGACGGUGGUCUUCACCGCCGGUGAGGAGAGGAAGAAGGAGAGAAGCCGAGCCUGAUCCACCCUGUCCCCUGUUUUGUAUGCGGCGGCGCGUGAACCCACGCGCUGCUAGUGGCGGUGGCGCGUGGGAAGACGCGUCGUCACUGUUCCCAGCACUGUUCCGAUGGUGCAGAAGGUCUUUAGUGCAAUUUCUGGAGUUUUAGGGACUAUUUUGUAAUUUUUUUAAUUAAUUAAUGUAAUUUUUAUUUAUUUAUUUUGUAUUUGUAUUUGUAUUUUGUAUAGUGGAUGUAAAAGAAAAGAAAAGAAAAAGAAAAGAAACAAAAAUAGUGAAAGUGUAUGUAUGUAAUUGUAUUUUGUUUUAUUUAUUUGUAUAUAUUUUUAAUGAUAAAAUUGCAAAUAUAUUAAAGAAGAAUUUAAUAUUUUGAUCGGAUUACGGUUAAGAAUUAUUAGCUUAUACGUAAGUGAUAUUUCUAAUUUCCGAUGAAAAGACAAUUAUUAAAACUUCUUUAACACGUCAAAGCCACGAAGCAGCUUACCUCAGGUAGGGUGCGUUAGGGGUGCUAAUACCUUCCCUAACCAUAACCAGUCCCUUACCCGCGAAUCUCUGACGAGACCAGUACAUCCGGUUUCCUAGUAGCCCGCAAUCAAUUACUAGGUGGCGACUCCAACGAAUCAAAUUCAAGAAAACGCUACAACGAUAAAAAAUCGUCAGCCGAUGCCGCUCGCUGAUUUUUUUUUGGGGUGCGACAUUUGUUAUGGUGUUCUUCCCCUACCGGCCGGUCACCUUUUUUACUGGGUUUUUUUCACUCUGUCUCAGCAAGUCUUUAAUUUAAUGUUUUUAUGUGAUAAAUAUUUUGAAAAACUAACGGAUUAAAUAUAAGUUUCAUGGCUAAAGCAACCAUGGAUCCGAUAGAGAGAGCAAGAGAAAUCUCGAAGGCAUGUGAGCAAGAGAAAUCUCGUAAAUAUAAAAUUAAAUUUACGAGACAGUCUAAACAUUAUAUUUAUCAAGAAUAUGCUUUGCGUCCCCAACAAUAAAAUCAAUAUUAGAGUUAGAAGACACUUGAAGGUUUAGCCCAUUGAUCAACUGCAAGGUUUGCUUUUGCGAACGUCCUGGGUUCGACCCUCUCUGUGUACCCUGUCACCCCCGCGGUGUCUUACCUGCUUACUGGGCUUGCAGGAUGUUCAGUGGACCCGAGAAUUAGUUGUGGUGCGCGCAAGCUGGCCCGGACACCUCGAGUUAUCAAAUAUAUAUAUAUAUAUAUAUAUAUAUUAGAGUUAGAAGAAUAUUUGAAAAUUUGUUUCACAUCUUUUAUCUGAAUUGCAAGACAUCAAUUUUAACCCCAUCAAUUCAACAAUUCCCUUCAAGCAUAUGUGAGCCAUGUCGCACACCAAAAAAAAAAUCCAAUUGCGGGUUCGACUGGCAAUUUUUUCAUUUGUUCUUGCUUGAUUUGGUUCUUUAGAGUCGCCACCUAGUAUUUUGGUCACUAGGAACCCUAACUGGUCUUUCAGAGAUUCUAAGGCAAGGGACUGGUUGCGUAAAGGGAAGGUAUUAGCACCCCUAGUACGCCCUACCUAAGGUAAGCUGCUUGGUGUUUGGUUUGCUCUAUAAUUGCUAUGGUGUUGGUGUUUUCUAAACCCAUCAAUUUUCCUAGGUUUGAUUCAAAUAAAAUUUAUUUGGAUAGAAAUCCAAGGAGAUUCCAUGUACUUUGAAAGCUCAUUUUUCCCUUAGUAUUUCAAGAGUUUGCGACUCAUAAAUCGCAAGGAAAAAGGGACCAAGAUUUAGAAAUCUAAGGAAAUUCGAAGCGCUUUAAAAGCCUCCUUUUGCCUUAGUAUUUCAUACUUUCACGACUCGUAAACCGUGGAGUAAAAAAUUUGAAGUUUUGAAAUGUCCUCGAUUAUAAUCAAGGCUUCUUUCAAGGAUGUGUGCGGAUUUAUUACUCUCAAUAAUAUUUUGGAUAUUCAUCCUUCAAGGAUUUUUUUAUCCAAACAUUAGCGGUGAAUAAUAGAUGAAUUCCCCCAAAAUAAGAUUUUUAUAGUUUUUGAAAUAUUGUUCAAUACCCUUUGGAGUUUUACAAACAUGUUGUAAAAUCCAGAUAUGCAAGAAAACAAAAUUUUUUUGAUGUUUAAGAAAUCCAUGCAAAAACACAUUUUUAAAACUUCCAAUAUUUUUGUAUAUAUAUAUAUAUAAAACAUUCAAAACAUGUUAGGGUAUUGGCCGUAUGCAUGAAAACAAAAACAUUUUUUUUAAUAAAUAUUUUUUGUUGACGAAAACCGGGUAUUUUAAUACUGAAUUUGUAUCUUUACAAUAUAAAAAUAUAAACCGAUAUUAAUCAAAAUACAGUAAUAAAAUUGAAGAAAAAUCACAAAUUCUUUAAAAUAAUUUUUUAAGAAUUUUUAUUUUUUAUUUAUUUUUUUUUAAUAAAUUUUUUUUAGGUUGGGCCUCGUUUGGCCCAUAUGGCUAGGCUGGACCCAACAGGCCUAACCGGGUCACUGGCCUGAGCCAGUGUCUUGGGUGGAAGCUCAUGUGUGCAUGCUUAGUACCAUAUACAAAUGGUACUGUUGAAGUGAAUUAUAAUUAGCUAUGAACAGUAAAAAUACAAAAGGAAACCACGCAUGGUAACAUGCAAAAGAAAACCACGCAUAGUAAUAUAUGGUACUGUUCAAGUGAAUUAUAAUUCACUUGAACAGUAACACUUGCACUUCAUUGUUCAAGUGAAUUAUAAUUCACUUGCACAGUGAAAAUGCUAAAGGAAAUCACAUGCACAGAGACGCAAAACGCUUACCUGGACGUGGAACCGAAAGGAGUGAAGACGAUGUCGAACACUCACAGUGAUGCUGGUGGCGGUGGAGAGGAAGCCGACGAGGGCUCACAGUGGUGCUGACAGUGGCAGUGGCUGGUUUGGCAGUGGCGUUGCUGCGGCUCCUCUUCCUUUUCCUUACUGUUUUGGCGCUGCUUCUUCUCUUUAUUUCCUUUGCUCCCUCUGUCAACAAGGUUCUUCUCUUUCUUCAACAGCUUCGCGGAGAUGCUGGUGGUGGCAGCUUGGGAAGUGGCCUGGAUGGUGGCCAGCCCUUCUUCCUCAUCUUCUGUGCGUUUUUCUCUUCAGCUCUAUUCUCCUCUGUUUUCGUUUCUUCCUUCCGCUUUUCUCAGGGCUGUUGUUGACUGAGAUUGCAAUGGCAGCUGGUGGCCGGCCUUCCUCUUCUCUGCUGCUUCUGCGUUAUUUCUUCUCUUUGUCUAGUCACCUUGCUUCUCUGCUUCUUCUUCCAAGCGGCGGUUCUAAGAGCAAGGUGGGCGGUGGCAGUAUUAUUUCAAAUGGUGGGGAUAGAGAGAAAGAGAGAGGUUAUAGUUCUUCUCUUCCCCUCUGUUUUCCUCCUCUCUUUUGUUCCCUGUGUUCUCCUUCUCUCGUCUCUUGUUCCAAAAAAGCCCCCCUGUUGCUGGUGUCAAGAGCAAUAUUUAUAGGCUAAAAGGGAGCGGGUUGUUGAUGCGCGUGGGGAGCAGGGGAGCGGCCAGUGUCUUCUGUCGGUGGCCUAAUGGAGUGGGGCCUCGGUUGGUCGGUGGGCUAGAGGGACCGGAAAAAAUUUAAACAAUGCAUUCUUUUUCCUUCUUCCCUCUGCAUGUUCGGGGGGAAGAAGAAAGGGGAACAGUGCCGUUCAAAACGGCACCGUUCGGUCUUUUUUUUUUUUAUGUAUGAAACGGCGUCGUUUUGGAGAAAACGCGUCGUUUCAUUUAAAUAUGGCGCCAGAAACGCGCCAAUGUUCAAAUCAGCCCCCAAUUACUUUUUGUUCAUUUCAAUUGCAUCCCUGCCAAUUUAGGUCCCCGCCCCCAUAGUUGUCCGUGUUUUCACUUUGGUCCUUGGCCUCUGAUUUAUGCAAUUUAGCCCUCAAUUGAUCAAAAAACUUCCAAUUUCUUCAAUUAGGCCCCUGAAUCAAUUCAAUUGCAGCCCCUCCAUUUACGCGCAACUUCCAAAUUGGUCCCUGGUUUCAGAUUUUCUCAAUUAAACCCCUAAUUGGCCAUUAAACUUCAAUAUUUAUGCAAUUAAGCCCUUGAUUUGACCCAAUAAAAUCCUAAAAAAUAUAUUUUGGCCCCAGAACUUAAAUUUCUUCUAAUUAAAGCCCAAAUUGACUUAAAAAUCAAUUUUCCUUGCAAUCAAAUCCUCUAUAAAUCCAAUUAAAAAUCCAAUUAAGUCCAUAAACAUCCAAAUUUGGGCUUUUCUCCUCAAAAUUUAAAUUUUCCUUCUAAACAGGGCCCCUCAUCCUUCAAGAAUAUACUGUCAAAAAACCAAUCUUUGUAUUUUUAUACUCCUUGACCAAUUUUCUGACCAUUUUCUAAACACUUCUGCCUCCUGUUAUUUUUCCAACCUCCUUUGGCUAUUUAUUUUAUUUUCAUUUUUGUGGAGACCCGAAAAUGGGUUACAACAAGCCAUAUCAUUUGUAACGUGCUUUAUAAAACAUCACAUUUGAAAUCACAUCUAAUUUGAUUCCAUUCACUUCACAAACAAAAAAUUUUACAUUUAAAUUCUUUCAUUAUCAUCUCUGUUGAAUUUUGAUGAUUAAUUCCAAUCCGCAAGAAAACUGGAUAAUCAAAACUUUUAAUUUUAUCAUAUUUAUUAUCGUCAAGAAAUUGUUUUCUCUACUCAUAAUCUCUCAGACUUCUCAUCUUUACUGAAUGAUGGGUUAAUUUUACAAUUCAUUUUCACAUGUAUCAUAUUUCCUCUUACACGAGCUCAUCUUGGUUUGCUAUCUUUUAUAACCAUGGUUAUUCUUGUCGCACCCAAAAAAAUCCUGGCGCGCGGCAUCGGCUGGCGAUUUUUCUUGUUUUGUUGCGUUUGCUUUGAAUUGGUUCGUUGGAGUCGCCACCUAGUAAUUCAUUAAGGGCUACUAGGAAACCUGAUGUACUGGUCUUGUCAAAGAUCGCGGGUAAGGGACUGGUUGUGGUUAGAGAAGGUAUUAGCACCCCUAACGCACCCUACCUGAGGUAAGCUGCUUUGUGUUCUGAUGUGAUUUCAAAAUUUAAAAUAUUAAUUAAAUUCUAAGGCUUGAAUAAAUCAGUUAUUAAAUCCCCGAAUAUAUGUAAAAACUUGUUCUUACAUUUUCGUAGAAAAUACAACUUAAUUUUAUUUGUCCUUGAGAUAUUUAACCAUAUUUAAAUUAACAAUUAAUUUUUUGUCUUUUUUUUUAUUUUUAUAAUUCAAUAACAUAAAAUAAAAAUACAAACACACACAACUUUCUUUUUAUCAUUUAUUUUUCUUUUCUUUUCUUUUUUUUCUUUUUUUUUACAUCACAAUACAAAUACAAAUACAAAAUCAAAUACAAAUACAAAUACAAAUACAAAUUCAAAAUCAAAACAAAUAAAUAAAAAUUUCAUUAAUUAAUUUAAAAGUUACAAAAAAAACAGUCCCUAAAAUUCUAAAAAUUUCAAGGAAGGACUUCUGCAACGGGAACAGUGUUCGUCAUGGUUUCUGGGCUCGGUAACAGUGGUGGCGCACUGGCGGCGCGUGAGCCCACGCGUCGCCCCCGAAAAUCAGGCAACGUGAGGGGCUGUAAUGGCUUCCUCCUCUCUUCAAUCUCUUGUUGUCCGUCACCUGCAAAUCCAAAAACACACAGCAAGGGCAAUUGAUUUUAAUUUUUUGUCUUUGUUCUAAAAUCUGCUUCGGUUCCUUUUUUUUUUUUUGGCAGAUCGGCUUCUGUUUUUUCUUCUUCUUGGCAGAUCUGCUUCGGUUUUCUUCUCUUCUCUUUUGGUGGCCGCCGAUGACUGGGAAGCUGCUGGUGGUUGUGGAUCUGUGACCGUGGGGUCUAUUCGGUGACCUUGUGACCGCUGCUGCCCGAUGAGACUAAGUGAAGACCAGGAGGAAAACAGCAGGGGGGGCUGCCUCUGUGUUCGGCUUGAGGAGGAGAGGAGGAGCCGAGGGGCUGGUUUGGCUGGGUGGAGAAGAUUAGAGGAGAAAGUGGGGGAUGCAGAGGAGGUUGCUCUGGCCGGUUGGCUGGAGAUCAGUCAAGAUGAUGGGAAUCGAACCGGCUGGGAGAGGGGAGAGGAAAAUCGGCUGGUCUGUGGGGUUCGGUGAGGAAGAGAAAGCUUGUCCGGCCGAAGGUAGAAAAGGAUCCAAAUCCCCGGGGGCAGCUAUGUGAUUUGUUUGUUUCAAGGUGAGGAAGGAGAUGGGGCUACGGUAUGGAGGCCAGGAUUUUGUGGAGGAAAAGAAAAAAAAAAGCAGCUGGAACCGGCCGGGAGAGAGGUUAAGAAGAAACGAAAAUGGCCGGGAGGGAGAAGGGAAAAAUAAUCCGGGGGGGAAGUUUGUGCUGAUAGGGAAGAAGAGAAAAAAAUCGAAUCCCCCCCCCCAGCGGGGAGGCUGGUUCUUCGGUUUUUUGAGGGAAAGGAGUUGUUGUAUAUUGAUGACCGUGAGAGGGAGCGUCUGUGGUCAGCUGGAAACAAGGAAAAGAUGACCUGGGUGGGGGCUGAGUGCCUGAUUUUCAGCUGAAAAAAAAAUGGUCUUGGGCCAGGGGGAGCGGCUGGUUUUGGGUGAAGAAAAAAGUUCUUAGGUUUCCUCUCCCUCCAAUAUUCAAAAUUCUCUAUACAUGGGAAAAAAUACUGUUUCGGCUUCAAAAUUGGUCCCUUAACUUUCUUUUUUUGUAAAUUUUGAUUUUUUGAUUUUUUUGUAUUUUUUUUUUAAAACGAGCAAUAUCAACGUCGACUCGAUGAGGAAAAUCAAUGAUUUUUAAAAAACGACGCGUGAAAAGUCAAACACAUUUGAAAAUCUUUUGAAAAAUUAAAUUCUUUUUAGACGACGCUGAAAAUGCUAAUAUGACGCGAAUAUAUUAAAAAAACAUAUCAACGUCGACUCGAUGAGGUGAAUUUGAGUUAUUGCAAAUGAAGUCCUCGGAGUCUAUUUCUGAUUAUCACACAAAGAUUAUGGUGAUAGUCAACCAGAUGAGGAGAAAUGGAGAAGCCAUCAUCGAUGCUCGAAUUACGGAGAAACUUUUGAGAUCCCUAGAUCCAAAAUUUGAUCAUGUUGUUGUCGCCAUUGAAGAGUCCAAGGAAGUGGACAAGUUGACGGUUGAUGAGCUUAUGAGUUCCUUGCAAGCUCAUGAGCAGAAGAUUGUAAAGCGAAAUGGAGAUAAGGUAAUUGAGCAUGCCUUACAAGCAAAGUUGUCUCUCAAAGACAGAUAUGAGCAAGGGGAGACUUCAUCAAGUGGCUACACCACUCAAGGAGGAAGUCAACAAUCCAGAGGAGGAUUCCAGAGAUUCCAAGGAAGAGGUUCUUGGAAUACAAGCUUUAGAGGAAGAGGUGGCAGAAAUACCACCAGAGGAGGUCGAGGACAACAAGCAUUCACUCCUAGAGGAAGAGGAGGCGGUUACAAUAACCGUGACAAGAGGAAUAUCCAAUGUUAUAGUUGCAAUGAAUUUGGGCACUAUAGCACUGAAUGCCGAUGGAAAGCUCCGUUGGAGAUACGUGAGCAAGCCAACUAUGCAGAGAAGGAUGAUAGAGAAGCAUCUGCAUUUCUUGUCCAACAAGACUUGGCGAGAAACAGAGAAAUAUGGUAUCUAGAUACUGGAGCCAGCAAUCACAUGUGCGGCUACCGAGAGUUAUUUGGUGAUCUAGAUGAGACCAAGCAAGGUCUAGUUACUUUUGGAGAUACCACAAAGGUUCCAUUCAAAGGUAAAGGCAACAUCCCAGUCAAGUUGAAGAAUGGCGAUUCCAGCUACAUCGCCGAUGUGUAUUAUGUCCCAGCCAUAAAGCAGAACCUGAUCAGCUUAGGUCAACUUUUGGAGAGAGGAUAUACUUUUUACUCGAAGAAUUGUCAUCUGGCAAUUAGAGACAACAAUGGGAGAUUAAUGGCCUACGUGAAAAUGUCCAAGAAUAGGAUGUUUCCUUUGAACAUCCAGUAUGAUGCAACAAGGUGUUUGAGUGCCAUCACCAACAGUGAAGAAUGGCUUUGGCACCUGAGGCUUGGACAUCUGAAUUUCACGAGUCUGAAGAUGCUAGCAAGCAAGAAGAUGGUCAAAGGUUUGCCUCACAUUGAUCAUCCAGAUGAAGUCUGUGAGAGUUGUGUCCUCAGCAAACAUCACAGAUCCAGUUUUGCCAAAGAAGUCAACUGGAGAGCAAAGAGGCCACUGGAGUUAGUACACACAGAUGUGUGUGGCCCAAUUACGCCUAUGUCGACUGGACAAAAUAGGUACUUCCUCACUUUUACUGAUGAUUUUAGUAGAAAGACGUGGAUAUACUUUCUGAAGAGGAAGUCAGAAGUAUUCAAUUGUUUUAAAGAUUUUAAAGCAAUUGUGGAGAAGCAAACUGGUUAUACGAUCAGAACCGAGAUCUGAUCAAGGUGGAGAAUAUACAGCAAAUGACUUUGAAGCCUAUUGUACACAACAAGGCAUCAGACAUCAGACGACGCCAGCUUAUACACCACAGCUGAACGGUGUAGCAGAAAGGAAGAAUCGCACGAUUCUUGACAUGGCAGAAGUUUGCUCAAAGCAAAGAAGCUGCCCAAGCAAUACUGGGCUGAAGCUGUAUCAUGUGCAGUGUAUCUGUUGAAUCGCUGCCCAACCAGAAGUUUGCAAGGAGUCACUCCAGAAGAAGCAUGGAGUGGUCACAAACCAAGUGUUACUCAUCUACGAGUCUUUGGUUGUGUGGCAUAUGCAAAGAUCCCAGAUGCAAGAAGGAGAAAGCUCGAUGAUAAGAGCGAGAAAUGCAUCUUUGUCGGAUAUGGUGAAAGAAGGAUGGGAUACAGGCUGUAUAAUCCCAUCACGAAGAAGGUGAUUACGAGUAGAGAUGUUAUCUUUGAAGAAGAUAAAUCUUGGGCAUGGAAUGGUGAUCAAGAAGCAUCAAAUGGAUCACUGAUUUGAUCCUUGAAGGUGAAGAAGUACCAACAGUACUUGUCGAAGAACCGAUUGUGCCAGCAGCUGAACCACAAAGUCCGGCACACAGUUUCCCUGUAUUCAACAGGAGGAACACACCAGGAGCAUCAUCAUCAACACCACCAGCAUCCUCAUCAGAAGGACCAAGAAGGAUGCGGAAUCUUGAAGAGUUGUACGAUACCACUCAGGUCAUGGAAGAUACAACUCUGUUUUGUUUCUUUGCAGAUAGUGACCCAUUAAACUUCAAUGAAGCUGUCACAGAAGAGAAAUGGAUAGAAGCAAUGGAUGAAGAAAUACAUGCCAUUGAGAAGAAUGAUACCUGGAAGCUGACUUAUCUACCAGAAAACAAGAAAGCAAUAGGUGUCAAAUGGGUCUACAAGACGAAGAAGAACGCCAAAGGAGAAGUGCAAAGAUACAAAGCCAGAUUAGUGGCUAAAGGCUACAAACAGAGAGAAGGCAUUGACUAUGGAGAAGUAUUUGCUCCAGUAGCCCGGCUAGAGACAAUCAGACUGAUGAUCUCACUAGCUGCACAACAUAGAUGGAAGAUCUAUCAACUCGAUGUGAAGUCAGCAUUUCUGAAUGGCUUCCUAGAAGAAGAAUCUAUGUUGAACAACCACUUGGAUACAUUGAUGCUGAAAAUGAAGGCAAAGUAUACAAGUUGAAGAAGGCUCUCUAUGGUUUGAAGCAAGCUCCGCGUGCUUGGAAUACCAGAAUUGACAGGUAUUUUCAAGAUAAUGGAUUUGAAAAAUGUCCAUAUGAACACGCAAUGUAUGUGAAGAAAGGAGCAGAUGGCAGCAUCUUAUUUGUGCCUGUAUGUUGAUGAUUUGAUAUUCACCGGCAACAACCCUACCAUGUUUGACGACUUCAAACGAAGCAUGGUACAGGAGUUUGAAAUGACUGACAUUGGUCUAAUGUCACAUUUUCUUGGCUUAGAAGUAACGCAGAAGGAAGAAGGGAUUUUUGUAUCCCAAAGCGGUUACGCCAAAGAUAUUCUUGAAAGGUUCAAGAUGGAAAGCUGCAAUCCGGUAUCAACUCCAGUUGAGAAUGGAGUGGAAUUGAGGAAGAGUAAGGUUGGAAAUGUUGAUCCAACUUACUUCAAAAGCUUAGUAGGAAGCUUAAGGUACUUGACAUGUACCAGACCGGAUAUACUCUACGGAGUCGGACUCGUCAGCAGAUACAUGGAGACACCAGACCAGUCUCAUUUGAAUGCAGCCAAGAGAAUUCUUCGCUACAUCAAAGGCACAAUGAAUGAAGGUAUGUUUUAUACCUCAAGUAAAGACUUUAAUCUUGUAGGCUACUCGGAUAGUGAUUGGGGUAGAGAUCUGGAUGAAAGGAAAAGCACAACAGGGUUUGUCUUUUUCAUGGGAGACACAUCUUUCACAUGGUCAUCCAAGAAGCAAUCGAUUGUCACAUUAUCAAGCUGUGAAGCUGAGUAUGUUGCUGCCAACUCAGUCGUAUGCCAUUCAAUAUGGUUAAGGAAUAUGCUGAAGUUUUUGGGAUUUCCUCAAGAAAGUCCUACGGAGAUUUAUAUUGACAAUCGAUCAGCAAUCGCAUUAGCAAAGAAUCCAGUGUAUCAUGAGAGGAGCAAACACAUUGAUACACGUCAUCACUUUAUCCGGGAACAUGUGAAGAAUGAAGAAGUCCAACUGAUAUCUUGCAACACAAAUGAUCAAGUUGCUGACAUCUUCACAAAGCCAUUGAAGGAGAAGUAUCCGAUUAAAGUUCAUGCUUGGCAUGACAUCCCUCGAUUGAGUUUAAGGGGAGAUUUGUUGAAUAUUAAACUCAAUCUAGAAUGGUCAAGGAAGGCAACCACACCACCACCGCAGCCACCAGCCACCAGCCGCAGCCGCCAGCCGCCUUCACACCACCGGCCGCCAGCCUCCUUCACACUUGGAAAAGUUGAAUUUUCGUAUUCUGAUUUUGUGUAUAAAUAGAGUGCCCAGCUUAUGUAAUAUUGUGGAGAGAACUGAGAGAAACACUUGUAAGAGAAAGAGAGAGAGAGGGCGUGUAAUAAGCUUUUGCUUUGUGUUAUUGUAAGCUUCGGUUUUGUGUCAUAAAACAGUGUGUUUUAUCCCCUCUGAGUGUUUCAAAGCCACCACCAGUGGUUUCUCCCACCAACAAUAUCAACCUUCGAAGAAUUAUUUUCAAAAGAAGACAGACAAAAAAGAAUUCCAUGUGUUUAGAUAUAUAAUUUGCUUUCAUGCAUGAUUUAUCUUAAAUAUUAAAAAAUAAUAUAAAUUAUAUAUUGAAUCUCACUUAAAAUUUAAAUUUUUUUAUUAAACUAAUUCUUUAAUAUAAUAUUAAAGUCUUCAUAGCAACAUACCAUUUGCUUGAGGCUGCUGCUCGUUCCGCAAAGGUACGUAAGAUAACUGCAUUAUCAAAACACUUGAAAUAUUUUUCAUGGAAGUCGUGGUGGGAAUUGGAAAAUUCUUAAAAUCAAGAGUUUCAAAAGAAAUAAAGUAUAGACUUAUCCAUUAAAUUUUUAUUUGCAAUUAAUUCUUGAAGAGGCUGGGCAAUCCACGAAAGUAACUCAGGCUGCAUGCAUCAUCAAAACAUCAAAUAUUUUUCAUGGAAAUCGUGGUGAAAAUUAGAAAAUUCUGAAAAUCAAAAGUUUUUCAAAAGAAUAAGAGCAUAGACCUUCUCCCUUAGAAAUUCUGGAACAGUCUGGUUAUUUCACUCAGGCGACGACUGCAUUAUCAAAACAUUAAAUAUUUUUCAUGUAAGUAUGAUGGAAAUCGGGAAAUGCUGAAAAUCAAAAGUUUAAGAUAAGUAAAGGUUACAUCAAAAACCAUCUCAAUUUAAAAUUUUAAUAAAGUUAAAAUAUAAUUUAUAUUAUUUUUUAAUAUUUUUUUCCAAGUAAAAAUUUUUUUUUUAAUUUUAUUAAUUAAAAUAAAAAUAUUAUGAUUUGAACUUAUAAUUAUUUGAUUAUUAUAAUUUUAAUAUCAUAUUAAUUAAAAAAUCAUAUCAACUAAAAAUUUUUAAUUAUUAAAUAAAAUUUUAAGAUGUUAACAGGUUAGACACGAAUUGAAGGUACUUUUUCCAGCCGGCGAAAAUCAUUAUCGCUCAGGGUAACUAACUUCAAGUGAAAGAUAUGGGAAAAAAAUGCGGCAAAACUGAUCAUAAUUUGAAAGAUGAGAGAUGCUGAUAUUGUUGUGUUAGGCACCAACGAAUAAUAGGAAAGUUGAAGAGUUUCUUCAGUAUGCUAGGAUCUAAGAUUGAUGCCAAUACCACAAACCAGAAAUGCAUAUUAGGUAUCAUGUGACUCAAAGUAAUUGUUAAUAUUACAAUUAAAAAAAAACUAUAAUGUUAUUUAAAAACUAUGGUAAAUUUGAAUUUUAAUUUAAAUAUUAUUUUAUUUAUAGUGCAUUUUAAUAAAAAUAAAAAAAAAUUGAAAAAAAAAACUGAAGAGCUAUAGAAAGAGGCUAGGCAUCUCAGCUGCAUGCCUGAUCUUCUUCUUUUUCUUUUUAUUUUUUUUUAAAUAAAACAAAUGAUAUGUCAUUCAUUUUAUAUGUACGUGUAAACAAAUCACAUCAUGUUAUUUACUAGUUAAGAUUGUAAGGUAGCUAAAAAAAUAGGAUCCUAGUUUUUAAAAUUUGAAAAUUUAUUUUUUAAUUUUUUCUUUCACUUGAAAACACCAAGUAAACAACAUCUUAAUAAUCUCAUUAAAUCCAUUUUCAAUAUUAAAACACUCAUUAAUAGAUCAAAAAUAUUUAAAAUUACAUCAAAUGAUCUACCAAACCGAUCCAAGUUUCGUAACAAUUUUUUUAUAAUAUAAAUUUAAAUUUUAUUUAAUUAAAUUAGUCUCUAUUUCAAUUUUAAAAUUGUACCAAAGAUCUUAAGAAUCGGUAAAAGAAAAGAAAAUUUUAACAUAUAAAAUAUCAAUAGCAUCACGUAUAAGAAUGAAAUUGAAAGAGAAUUUGACUAAAAGAAUAGUAAUGCACAGUAAUUUUAGUUGGUGUGAAGUAUUAAGCCUUUGGUAAUGCUUUCUCGUAGUAUAUUGAGUUUGUUUACAUUUCUAAAGAAAAAGUAGCUAACAUGCAUACCAUGUGCUUGACAUCAGGACCCCAACAUCCCAAGCAUCAUUAAGCAAAACCCGUAUCUUCAAAAAUUAAUUCCAUAAUAGUCAAGGAAGGAUUAUUUUGUAUCAUGUAACUUGAAGGAAAACGAUCAAACUAUUGUGUUUCGCUAUCCCAUUUAGAAUUUAAGACGCUAAUCCUUGGGUUUGUGUGUGUAUAUGUGUAUUUUGAGUUAAAUUUUGUAUCAAAAUGAUUUGAUAACAUUAAAAAAAAAAUUAAAAAAAAUCAAAUUUUGUAUCAAACUGCAUCAUCAAACAUUAAUAAUUCCAUAUAUUUUGUAUCAUGUAACUCGAAGGAAAAUGGCCCCUGCCCACACACAAACUAUCGUGUUUCUCCAGCCCAUUAAGAACACAUUGAGAAUUUAAAACACUAAUUUUUCGGCCUCCUGAAUAUGUGUGUUUUAAACACAUAAAAUAUAAAUAACAUCACAUAUAAGAAUAUAAAUUGAAAAAGAAUUUGAGUGAACGGAGUGUGAACUCUUGAGGCUUUUGUAAUGCUUUGUCGUGGUAUAUUGAGUUUGUUUACAUUUCUCAAGAAAAAGUAGCUAACAUACAUACCUUGUAAACUAACUUUUUCCUGAAGGGCGUCAACGUCGACGGAGACAAGCACUGCAUCAUCAAAAAUUAAUUCCAUGUGUCAAGGAAGGGUUAUUUUGUAUUAUGCAACUUGAAGGAAAAUGGCCAAACUAUUGUGUUUCGCUAUCCCAUUAAGUACACAUUAAGAAUUUAAGACACUAAUUCUUGGGUUUAUGUGUGUACAUGUGUGUUUUGAGUUCAAUUAUGUUGGUUCGAGAUUAUGGUAUAAUAAUUAAGGUUUAAAAUAUAUAUAUUUUUAAAAAUAUAUUAAAAUAAUAUAUUUUUUAUUUUUAAAAAAUUAAUUUUGAGAUUAGCACAUUAAAAAAUCUGAAAGUAUAAAAAAUUAAUUUUUAACAAAAUAAAUUAAAAUUUAUAGAAAUGUAAUUUUAACCGCUUUUCUAAAUGGUCUUUUUUUGAAAUAGCUUUUUACAUUAUUUUUAUUUAAAAAAAUAUUAAGAAAAAUAUUAAAAUGAUAAUUUUUUUGAAUGUUUUUGAUAUUUUAAUAUUAUGAUAUUAAAAAUAAAAAAAUAUUAAUUUAAUAUAUUUUUAAUUAAAAAAUAUUUUAAAAAAUAAAUAAUAAUAUAGUUAUUUUUAGUUAAAGAGAAGGUAUAGAAAUCAACGGUGAAGCAAAAACAUGGAUCAGAAACCACAUAAUUGAAAAUUGUUAGUAAACUAGAACUAAUACGAUCACCUCGCCAGAUAAUGAUGUUGAUGGUGGAUGGAGGGAAUGGAGGGGUUGCUCAGGUUCACGUCGAUUACGUAGUCCAAGCGUCAGAACAGCUUCAUCUUUCUCUGGUUCCGAUUACUCCUUCCUCUUCUAUUUCCAUGACCACCACUCUUUUUGCUUCCUCCGCGUAUCAGUACGUACUGAUGUCAGUGCCAAAAGUGAUCACAACUACAAGAGUAGGAUUUACCCUUCCCUUCUGUUUACUCUCUGUAAUUGAAAAUCUGUUACCUGGUUUGAUAUCUAGCAGAUUCCUUGGGAAAACAAAUGAAAAGAGCUGUUACUUGUUUCUCCUUUUGAAGUCGAUGAAGAUCUAAAUCAGUAAUUGCUAGCUAGUAACCUAGCCAGAAGUCACAUGGAAACUUCUUAAGGGCUUCAUCUCCGCGUUAAUUCACUGUUUCUUGCGAGAUUGCCGCGUCAUAAAGUGAGAGAGAGAAAAGUAGGAUUUAAUUCAAAAGUGAGUUCAAGAAAUUAUUUUUUAAUAUCUGGUAGUGUUAUGGAAAAUAAACUGGAAAAUAUUUUUCAGUGCUUGGUUGUAUUAUGAAAAAUAAACUAGAAAAUAAUUUAUUAAUGGAUUAAUUUUUUUUUUCAAAUUUAUCUAAUAUAUAUAAAAUAUUUAAUCACUUACAAUAAAAAAAAUAAAAUCUAAAAUAUAUAAUGAUGAAUUUUUUUUUAUUAUAUCUUAUAUUCAUACAUAGCUUAUUUUAUAAAAUAUAAAUAUAUAUAUCAUAUCAUAUUAUAGAGAAAUAAGCUUGUGAAAUAUUUUUUACUAUUCCAUUAAACCAUUUAUAAUUCCAUUACGUACGAAAUAUAUCCGACAAAAACUAUAGUUUUAAUAAUAUUUUUAGCAUGUAAUAAAAUUGGAUAAAAUAUUAAAGUGUAAAAUUCACUUUAAACUAGUUUUUUUUUAAAUGUUAAAAAAAUAGCACCCUUAAAUAAAAAGAAAAAAAAAAAAGGUUCACGCAGGCAAGUGAACAGUGCAAGAGAACUGCACUGUUCACUAUUUUGUGAGUGAACAGUGUACGCAAUACAUUGUUCAUGUUAAUUGCAUUGUUCAUUGAACAGUGCAAUUAACAUGAACAGUUAAAAGAAAGCAUGAAGAAAUGACCACUUCUUUUUUCCUGUGUUUUUAACGCAGGAUUGGACCCAUCUCUGGCCACUGUUUUUAUGAAAAGAAAAAAACAAAAAUUGUUUUUCUUUUUUUAAUAAAGAAAAACACGUUAUAAUUUUUUCAUUGACUGCAUUUUUUUUUACUAUUUUUUCUUGUCUCCGAACAUUGAAAAAGCAGGAAAGUGAAUUCCAGCUUCGCUGCAAUCAAACACGGCCUUAAUAAAAGGGAUGGGAAUAUUUUGAAUACCCAACUUCCUCUCCGUUUCCUUCCCUUCCCUACAUGUCGGUUCGCAAUGAUAACAGGGGCAGUAGGAUCCUCUCAUCAUCCUGUUUUUGGUGAAAAUAAUUAUGAAGGUGGUUCGAUUGAGUUGAAAUCUUGCAGCCACACUAACAACACGAGGCUCUAUAAUCUGAUCACUGUAGAUCGAAUGGUACUUUUGUUGGUGAACAGUAGCAACUAUUUUGUGGUGGGAUGUUUAUAGAAUCUCUUAUAAUCUUGUUUUGUUGCCAGGAAAUUAUUACAUCUCUAAUCCUAUUUAAACAGAACAGUUGCAGCCCAUUGUUUACAGUGGGAAUUUUGGAGGUUUCGUAAGAACCACCUUGUCUCUGUUUGUGAUUGAUUUGGGUUUCCCAAAUCAAGCUACCAUUUCUCUCAACACCGUAUGCUUUGGAGAGGAUAACAAGUAUCUCUUAGUUCUUCCAACCUGAGCUCUCCUUAUAAGGUUAUCGUAAUCAUUCUCCUCCAUUGGUCCAAGAGCAAGGAUGACGAUAUCGGCAAACUAUAAGAUAUAUAUUCAUGCUGGUGUUCAAUAGCCUGAUGAAGGUGGAUUUAUACCGGCCAACGGCUAGCCUUGUCAAGCUGCAAGCCCCCCUUCCUCUGCGAUUUUGUAAUAGAACCUUGCACUAGCAAUUUAAUCUUUCAUAAACGCUCUCCAAUUGUCGGUGACCUUUAUGGAGAAAACAUCCUCAUCGCAUAAACCAAAUCGUUUGAGCUCAUCCUGUGGAAGCUAAACUCUCCCUUUCAAGGCACUGAAAGAAGAAAGGAGUUGAAACAUUUAAUGAGGUAAUUAACCAUAAGCAAAUAAAUUAGUGACAAAAACUUGCUCUUCCCACACAUCUCUAUAAGAGUGUCUGUGAGUUGAUUUGCAAUACAAAAAUGAACUGCUGCAUUGUAAAUACUUUGAACAGAAACAGAAGAAGAUUCAGGUGCAAUCCCCGUAACCGGAACAGUCAAUGGAUCCAGUUGUGCCAGCAACAUAGUAGCAGUAAAGGUGGAUGGCCCAAAUGCUGUCUACAAGGGCACUUCUCUUCUUGAUAGGUGGGAAGAAAGACUGCAGGACAUCUUCAACGGCCGCCCCUAUGACAUGGUUGAUGCUGCACUAGCUUAUUGAUGAAGCUUCCAAGUUCUGUAUAGACAUAAUUAAAGUUGCUCGGGACGUUUUCUUCCUGAAUCAAAUUCCCCUCUAGCCUGAUUUCUUUCUCAAUUGCUUCUGUUAAAGGUAUUUAUAAUGCAGCAGUAUACUACGGUAUUGCAAAUCAACUAAGAAACAUCCUUAGAGAUGUGUGCAAGGAGUAAGUUUUUUGUGACUUAUAGUUCUCUCAUUGGACAAAUGUAAGGAGGCGAAGUAUUGGAGUAAUGCAUAGGAAGGAAAAAGGGCAUCAACACUCAACAAAAGGUUGGUUAAAGUUAUCACCGAAAGAGGAAAUGGUGCCGAUGAAAAAACCUUGGAGCUUACUCUUAAGAGAGGCUGCAAGACAUCUUCAAUGCUGGACACCCUCCCCCUGGAUAUGUUGUUCUUACCUAUACUGCUUCUCCAAGUCCUGCUCAGGCAUUGAGGUGAAUAGAACACAAUCUACCUUGGUAAGUUUUUGUGACAAAACAAGCCCAUUUCUUAAAAAUAGGUCCAAAGUAGCCCAUGAAGUUAGAAUACUUGAAAAUGUGGACUCCUGCCCUCAAAAGGCUCAAAUAUUGAAGGGAAAUCCAUAUUUCAUGGGGAUUGGGCUAGUUUGUGGUUAGGGCUACUGAUGAAUAUAUUUGAAAAUGAGCAUUCAAACCUUGUGAAGUUGAAAGAGCUGUGUUAAAUUGACCAUAUUAUAUGACUCAGAGACUAGAAAAACUAGUGUAUUUGACCUCUUGAUCGCUAUUAAAACAGCCAUCAUCAUUUACCAUUAAUAAGAAUGAUUAAGCACCUACUUGACCCAGUUUUCCUAUUCAAGUGUAGAAGGAGUUAUGUUUUCCUCAAAAAUCAAACUCUAAGAUCAGCAAGCCUUCUUAAGAGUUCAUGUUCAUGAAGUUCCUAGGCUACUUUAUUUCUUUCUUGUGUACCAUUUACUUGCUGGUCUAUAGCCAGCUUUAUUAUUUUAUUCUAGUCAUGGUUAUAAAACUUAAAUUCCUAGCGGGUUGAUUGAGGAUGUGAUUAAUAUAAGAUUUAGAUUAAUCUGAGUUAAAACAAAAUAAAAUAAAAAGUACCCUAGUUUUUCAAAACUCAACCCUUAAUUUAUUUAAUUUUUUUAUUAAAAUAAUGUUAUUUAAUCUAUUUAUUUUAAAAAAUCAACUUGAAUUAAUUCUCCCGACUUAUAACUCAAAUCUUGUUCUCGAUUUCUAAAUUGAAUUUUAAAACUGUGAUAAUGGUAAAAACCGAUUGAAUUUUAUACUGUUGGAUUUUAAAGCUGUUCUAGUGAUGCAACCGAAUGAAUUUUAUACUAUUUUAGGUUUGGAGCAAAUUAUCUUUCACUAAUCUUUUAUAUUAUUAAUUAGAGAAAAUUAAGUAACUGAGGUGAAAAUGACACAUAUAUGCAGACUGCAAUUCCUUGUUUAGUAUCAUUGGUGGAAUCAAUGAUUCGUUUUUUUCUUUUGGCUCAUUGCUCUGGAACAACCAAUCAAAGCCGUUUGGCAUUGUUUUUUCUGGUCUCCAAGAUGUUCCAUUCUCAGGUCACACUUUGUCUUUUACAUUGACUUUUACCUAUCAAAUUUCCUUUCUAGUUUUGGCAAGCAUGGCUAGAUCCCGAAGGAUUUAGUGAACUUUCUCAGCACCUCGCUGUGCUGGUUCGGUUGAGCCAAAGCAAAGAUGGUCUCAAGUCUCAACUUACAUAGGGUGCAUCACAUCAAUGGACAGUCAAACUGCCAAGAAGCAGCUCCAAACAGGAACUUUCAGCCUUGUAGAUGUACCGAAUCCUGAUGUUGAGAUGCUCCAAAGGAAGCACUACAUGGAACUAGUCCAACUGACAUGCAUCAUGGCCUCCAUAAUUGGAAGAGGACGUCAACAUGACCUAUCAUUUCAUUAGUUCAUUCACGGGGGAGGGUUUUAUUUUACUUCUAUACUGUAAAACUUCCAGCAUAAUCACCUCAGGACAUAAAUAGAAUCGAAGGGUGUAGGGAGGCAUCAAGGUGAUCAAGAUUCUUGUUGCAUAGUCUUAAACAAAGUUUUGGAUAGGUUGGUAUUGGACAAAAUCUAGCAUCUUCGUAACACCCAAUAUUCUCUAAACACCACAUUAGGGACUCAUGUCUUUACUGAAAAAAAUAAAAAAAACUACAAGUUGUCAUGAUUUUGUAAAGCAAACUGAUGUCCUUGAUAAGAGCAAGCCAUUUGAAUAAUCCCCCAUUUUUUGCUUGCAAAAUCUAGUAAGCUGAAACUAGUUGGCAAUUUGCAUGAUGCUAUCAUCAAUUUCCUUUUGAUAAAGAGAUUGAAAAGGAGAGGAAUUAAGGUAGAGAGACAGCUCGUUAAUUGACUUAACAUUGCUAGAGAGUAUAAAUGUUUGAGCUGUUCGAUAUUGCAGUGUCAUGAUCAAGUUAUUAGGUAACGUUUUCUGAUGUUUUGAAGGAAGUUCUAGAUCCUUUCAAGCCAUUUCAUCAUUCUUCUAGAGAGCUUUUUCGUACCCGAGAAGAAUCGUUAAACGUUUCCGGAUGCGUUCUAUAUUUUCACUUUCGGCUAAGCCUUGCACUGGCAAGUUCUUGCACUCAAAAUCCUUGGUUACAAGAGCAAGAGCUGAAGUGAUCGCAGCUCCUAAGGGAUCAAUCCAACGUGCUUUUCCUCGGCUAUUAAAACAUGGAAUUCCUCGUACUGAUCUUCAAGUACAUGAAAUUGUUGAGAGGCAGUCUCAGGCUAACAGCUUAAGCAAGCAAGAUAUCUGUAGAAAGCCGGAGUUCCAUCCAGCGUUUCUUAAAGAAGCCUAUGAAAGGUGCAGAAACAUUUGCGCCGAAUAUGCCAAGACUUUCUAUCUAGGUAACAUUCAUAUCCCUUUCAAAUUGUUCAUUACAUGUAUAGUUCUAGAUGUCAUGAUUCAAGGAUUUCUAGAUGAUAUGAGAACUAUCUUGUCGUUUCGAUGCUUGCUUGAUUGCUUACCAGAUCCCAUUAGCACAGGUUUCCAACCUGUUUUAUGAUUUAUCAAAACAUUUAAUUUGCCUCUAUAUGUCAUCACAAAUCGUGUGGCAAAAUAAUGAUGGUCAUUGUCUCUCGAUGCAGGAACUCGGCUGAUGACACAGGAGCGACAGAAAGCCACAUAGGCAAUUUAUGGUAAGAGAAUUAAAGCCCAGAAUAGAUAAAUUAGUCCUUCAAAGACAAUACUACCAAAUUAUUUAUAGUUCCAAGAAAUUACUUGAAAAGAUAUUCAGUUCAGAAGAUCGAAGAAGCAAUUCAAUUGAUCCUAACAGUCACACUAGAGAUGAAUUAAGCAAAGAGGUUUACAUAAGAAGUAAACUGUUAUGAAAGUUGUUCAACUGCAACUGAAAUGUUUUCUGCAGUAUGGUGCAGGAGGACAGAUGAACUGGUCGAUGGACCCAAUGCAUUGCUCGUGAGCACUGCUGUUCUUGAUAGGUGGGAAGAGAGGCUGAAAGACAUCUUUGAUGGACGCCCCUAUGACAUGCUCGAUGCUGCACUUACUGAUACAAUUUCCAAGUUCCCUUUAGACAUUAAGGUGCUUGGAAUAUUUACUAGGUGGAUUAAUUCCUAGCAUAGUGUAUGUUCUCGAUCUGAUAAGAUUUUUUUUUUAUCAUCUCACAGCCUUUUAGAGGCAUGAUUGAAGGUAUGAGAAUGGAUACGACAAUAUCCCGUUAUGAUAAUUUUCAAGAGCUCUAUCUUUAUUGCUAUUACGUUGCGGGCACAGUCGGCCUAAUGAGCGUUCCAGUGAUGGGAAUAGCAGCAGAAUCUGAAGCUUCUGCUCAAAGUAUUUAUAAUGCGGCACUGUACUUGGGUAUUGGAAAUCAUCUUACAAGCAUUCUUAGAGAUGUGGGAGAGGAGUAAGUUCUUUUUUCCGUACAACCUCCAUUCAGUUUUCUCGUUUGAAUCUUUUAACUUAGUUCAGUCCUUUCUCGUUCAGUGCUUUGAGAGGGAGAGUUUAUCUACCGCAAGAUGAGCUUGCACAGUUUGGGCUAUGCGGCCAAGAUGUUUUCGCAAGAAAAGUCACUGAUGGAUGGAGAGAGUUCAUGAAAGAGCAGAUAACAAGGGCAAGAUUCUAUUUCAACCUUGCAGAAGAAGGGGCUUCAAAGCUUGUAAAGGCUAGCCGGUGGCCAGAAUGAACUGAAAACUUUCCAUUACUUGCAGGAUAAAUUUGCAACACUUCCAACUUUAACCUAUAUUGUAUCUUAAGAUUUUUCAUAUGCUGACACAUUGGUCUGUGAUUUGUUGCAGGUGUGGUCAUCCCUACUAGUAUACCAAAAAAUCUUGGAUGCAAUUGAGGAUAAUGAUUAUGAUAACUUCACAAGACGAGCUUAUGUUGGAAGAACAAAGAAACUUCUCACAUUGUCCCUGGCAUACACAAAAGCUCAAUCAAUGUCUAGCUUGAUCCUUCAGUAAAUCAAGAUUUUGUCAGCAGCCCUAAGGUGGGGGAGUUAUGACACCAAACAGUGGAGAAGUGGAGUGAAUAGUGAAACAAGAUUAUGCUUGGUGUAUCAUAGAGGAAAUCGUCAAAGUUUGAAUGUUUGUAAGAUUGGUUCAUUGCUUGUAUCAGGUUCUCAAUUCUCUGGUAAAACUAGAAUUUUCAUGGAAAGUAAAUUGCACAUACAUUUCUCAGUUUUCAAAACUAUGACCUUUGCUCAAAAAUUGCUUGCACUACAAGUGUCAAACUUCUGAGGCAUUGAUUGUUACUUUUAAGGCUUUAAGGUUGGAUGUAUACUCUGCUUCUUAUUCUUCUCCUGUGGAGGGAUGCCUUAUAUAGGCAAAUAUAUAUGUCGGUUACAUCUUUCCUAUUCUGAAAGGAAUACUGCAAUGUAUAUCCUUUCAGGACUCCUAUAGAGUAUAUCUUUUAUAUAUAGAAAACUACCCUUUAAUUCGGCUAAUUACAUGUUAACACUUCCCCUCAAAUUGGUGCGAAGAUAUCUUCUAAGCCUAACUUGUCUAGAGACUUAUGAAGAGCUUCCACAGGGACUGCAUGGGUUAGAAUAUCUGCUAGUUGCUCACUUGAUCUGACGAAAGGGAUGUCCACUAACUUUAGAAGUAACUUUUCCUUGAUGAAGUGUCGAUCUACCUCAAUGUGUUUAGUUCGAUCAUGUUGUACUGGAUUAUUAGCUAUCUCUCGUGCUGCCUGAUUGUCACAGUAUAGUAACAUAGGGUCUUUGGGUUCAAAACCUAUUUCUGUGAGUAAGGUCCUGAGCCAUAACAGUUCGCAUAUUCCAUGUACCAUCCCUCUAUAUUCUGCUUCUGCUGAGGACCUUGCUGUCACAUUUUGUUUUUUACUUCGCCAUGUGACAAGAUUUCCUGCAACAAAUGUAAAAUAGCCAGAGGUGGAUCUCCGGUCAGUGAGAUUUCCUGCCCAAUCUGCAUCAGUAAAUCCUUUCACUUCCAUAGUUCCAUGUCUUUUAAAUGUCAAUCCUUUUCCUGGAGCCCCUUUUAGAUAACUCAGAAUUCUCAUUACAGCUGUCAUAUGAUCUUCACUUGGAGCAUGCAUAAACUGACUUACCACACUAACCGCAUAGGCAAUGUCUGGGCGAGUGUGAGAUAAAUAAAUUAACCGCCCUACCAAUCGCUGGUAUCUUUCUUUGUUUGUUGGUACCUGAUCUGGGUGAAUGGCCAAUCGAUGAUUUUGAACAAUAGGAGACUCUACUGGUUUGCAUUCUAGCAUACCCGUUUCAGAUAAUAGGUCCAGUAUAUACUUUCGUUGUGACAAGUAUAUACCAUCUUUAGUUCUUGCAACUUCAAUUCCCAAAAAAUAUUUCAGUCCUCCUAAAUCUUUCAUUUCGAAUUCGGUAGACAAACAUUCUUGUAGCUUUUUUAUUUCAUCUGUGUCAUCACCAGUUACGAUCAUAUCGUCUACAUAAAUAAUGAGCAGUGUAACUUUACCAUUCUUCUGUUUGAUGAAUAGAGUGUGAUCAGAGUUACCUUGGUGAUAACCAAUUCGUUUCAUAGCUUCUGUGAAUCUCCCAAACCAUGCUCUUGGCGAUUGCUUCAAGCCAUACAAUGCUUUUCGUAAUCUACACACUUUUCCACUAGAUUGUGAGCUGUUAAACCCAGGUGGAAGUUGCAUAUAGACUUCUUCUUCCAGAUCCCCAUGGAGAAAUGCAUUUUUCACAUCAAAUUGCUUCAAAGGCCAACUGAAAUUUGCUGCUAAAGACAACAAGACUCUGAUGGUGUUCAUUUUUGCAACUGGAGCAAAAGUUUCUUGAUAGUCAAUGCCGAAUGAUUGUGUGUACCCCUUUGCUACUAGCCUUGCCUUGAACCGAUCAAUUGUGCCGUCUGCUCUAUGUUUGAGGUUGAAUAUCCACUUGCAGCCCACUGGUUUUUUUCCUGGAGGGAGUGAUACAAUACUCCAUGUGUCAUUUCUUUGUAAUGCACUCAUUUCAGCCUCCAUUGCUUCUGCCCAUUUCGGGUGUUGUAAGGCAUCCUCAACCUUUGUAGGUAUUCUUAUAUUCGCCAUCUCACUUAUGAAGGCUUGAUGCUGUGGAGGUAGUUUGUGUGUAGAGACAUACUGUGUGAUUGCAUAUUUUGCUUUUCCAUUCGGUGAGUACCUGUCAGGGGCCUUUCCACGGUUCUGUCUAGGAGGGAGAGAGUAGCAUGGGGCAGAUAAUAAAGGGAAAGAGGAAGGGCUUUCAGUGUCACUUACCUCAUGGAUAUCCGAUCGAUCUUGAACAUGGAUUUGUGGAGAGGAAGGGGUUAUUUCAUCAUGCAUGUAUUCUUCUUCUGCAUCACUGCUGCUAUGUGUAUUGUACUCUAUGUGUUCUUUCCCUGCAUUGCCCGUUGCAGUUGUUCUGGAGCUGGGCUCUGUAUUUCCUUCCCCAACAUUACUAAUUGUGUGUGUACUGGUUUCCAUUUCUUCCCCUGAAGUUGACUGCUGCUGCUCCGUAUUUCCUUCCCCUGAAUCUGUGUUUCCUUCCCCUGAAUCCAACUGAAGAUCAAUCCAGUUGUAGGCAUCAUAUUGCAGCUCCCCCUGAGGACUAGAGCUGGAUGGAUUCAUAUGGAAAAAAUAUUCUGUUUCAGAGAAGGUAACAUCCAUACUGACAUGCAUCUGGCGAGAAGAAGGAUGGUAGCACCGGUAUCCCUUUUGGUGAGGAUUGAAACCAAGAAAGACACACCGUACUGCGCAUGGUUCCAGUUUUGUGCGCUGAGUUUUCUGCAGGUGAACAUAAGCUACACAUCCAAACACACGGGGUUCUAAGUGUAGGAGGGAUGGAAUCUGAAUGUGUUGAGUGAGAGUCUGCAAGGGAGUGCUGAAGGAGAGGACUUGGGAUGGCAUCCGGUUGAUGAGAUACACAGCAUAGGUUACUGCAUCAACCCAAUAAUGUUGAGGGACAUGGGCACCAAUGAGAAGAGCUCUAGUAGUUUCAAGAAUAUGCCUGUUUUUGCGUUCUGCCACACCAUUUUGUUGUGGAGUGCGCGGGCAAGUAGUCUCAUGGAGAAUACCAUUGUUUUGAAAGAAACUCAAGAGUUCAGAGUUAAGAUAUUCUCCACCAUUGUCUGAUCGAAUAAUCUUCACCGGCAGGGAGAACUGAGUGCACACCAUGCGAUAAAAAAUUGGGAAUAUAUUACGCACAUCACUCUUGUGUCGCAUAGUAUAUAACCAAGUCAUUCUGGUGCAAUCAUCGACAAAUGUAAGAAACCAUCGAAUUCCAGAUUGGGAAGUAAUUGGAGCAGGUCCCCAAACAUCAGAGUGGAUCAAUUCAAAAGGCUUUGUUCUUUUAUUCAAGUUUACAGGAUAUGAAGUUCGAUGGCUCUUGGCCAAGAUGCAAACAUUACACUUAAGAGAGGAACUUGGAUCCGGAAUGUCAUCAAAGAGGGAAGGAAAUAAUUUUUUUAAGUAGCCAAAGGAUGCAUGACCCAGCCGACGAUGCCAUAACCAAAUUUUCUUGUGAUUAUUACCAUUGUGACUCUGAACUUGAUGGACGUGACCUGAAGCUACGUCAUCUACAUAGUAUAACCCCUUCCUCUUAGUACCACGUCCAAUGAUCGCUUGAGUCCGGAUAUCCUGAAGUAAGCAAAACGUGGGAAACAUUAAUACCACACAAUCCAAUUCUUCUGUAAUUUGACUAACAGACAGUAAAUGAUUUGAAAGUGCAGGGACAAGUAAACAAUUAUGUAGUGAAAGAUCAGGAGUGAGAACAAUUGAUCCUGCUCCAAUGACUGGGGUAGACUCCCCAUUGGCUGUCAUGACCUUUUCCUUAGACGGGGGAGUCAUGUAUUGAAAUAAUGAUUUGUUAUACGUCAUAUGAUCUGUGGCACCCGAGUCAAUGAUCCAACCUGUAUCAUGAACCGUGGAUGUCGACAAAACCACUCCAGUUUUACCUGUCGCUGAAGUCUGGUCAGUUUUCGCUAAGGAGAGUAAUUCAUCCGGUUUAGUGUGGUCUUUUUUUCUUAUUGCCAUGGCAGCAAAACUGGAAGGAAUUUCUGUUGCAGUGGUUAAUUUUGCUUGGACUGGACGUUUAUUACUUCUUGCUUUACUUUGCUUCCGUUUUUCUAGAAACCAGUCAGGGUAGCCAUGAAUCUCAAAACAAGUGUCUCUGGUAUGGCGACUUCCAUUACAAUGGCUGCAGCGCAACUUGUCUUUUUCUGCUUCCUCAAUAGCUCGAAGAGUGCGCAUGUUAGAAGGGGUGGUGGAUUUGGAAAUCAUUGCAAUUGAUGAACCUUCACCAGUGUUUUUUGCUCCCAGCAUGGUGACUUGUCGCUGAGCCUCCCGUCGAAUUGUAUUGAAGCACUCUUCAAUACUUGGAACAGAUUUUUUUCGAAGGAGAUCACUGCGUAUUGAAUCAAAAACUUCAUCCAAACCUGCAAGAAAGUCAUAGAUCCGGUCCUUUUGAAUUUCUUCUUGUCUGGUUCUAAGAUCUGCAGCACAUAUCAUCUUAAUUGGUCGUCGCUUAUCAAUUUCCUGCCAUACACUAUUCAGCUCUGCGUAAUACAAGUUAACUGGACGCCCAUUCUGUUUCGUCCUCGUGGCUUUGCAGCGUAGCUCAUAGAAUUGUGACUCGUCAGCCCCAUCAUAAAAGGUUUGAGUGACACUAUCCCAGAUUUCCUUGGCUGAUGACAGGUCUAUAAAUAAACCAAUAAGAUGAGGCUCCAUGGUUUUCAACAACCAUCCUCGUACCACUGCAUCUUCAGUGCACCACUUUGAGUAACCAGAAUUUCCUUCUUCCACUCUAGCAUUCUGCCCAGUUAAGUAGCCAAGUUUGUUCAAUCCAGCAGCAUGCAGUUCAAGCAUACGUGACCAGAUUUUGAAGUUUGUCUCAUUCAAUUUAAAUCCAAAGGGUAAGGUGUUUAGGUUAGGUGUUUCAGCAGAGAAUGAAGUCUGGUUUAUAGGGAUAAUAGAAGUAUUUGUGUCAUCCAUGGUUGGUCUCUUGUUUCAAGACCAAUUCCCAGGAGAAGAUUAAUGUGGCGGCUGAAAAGUUAAAGGAAGAUUUUAGCUUUCAACCUUGCUCUGAUACCAUGUUACUUUUAAGGCUUUAGGGUUGGAUGUAUACUCUGCUUCUUAUUCUUCUCCUGUGAAGGGAUGCCUUAUAUAGGCAAAUAUAUAUGUCGGUUACAUCUUUCCUAUACUAAAAGGAAUACUGCAAUGUAUAUCCUUUCAGGACUCUAUAGAGUAUGUCUUUUAUAUAUAGAAAACUACCCUCUAAUUCGACUAAUUACAUGUUAACAUUGAUCAGACGAUAUGCUGUUCUCUAUAUGCUCACAGCAGAGAAGACAUGCUGUUAUGGCAUCCAUAUCCUGUUUUGGGUUCGAGCUCUCUCCUGGCACUAAGCCUAAGCACACAGAUGAAAGGAAAAAUAUAUUAAAUAAUUAUAAUUAUAUGAUCUGAAAGCAUUUCAAUUCAUUAACAUUAAUACCCAAAUAAAAUUGGGUUCUAAAGAAGAAAGAAAGAGAAGAUUUAUUACAUGCUAUAGCUUUGUAUCUUAAGGUUUUUGGCCUUCAUUAGAGUCGACUUCCCUUGCUGGGGUUAUUUAAAAAUAGACAACGCUUUAAGGUUGACGAUUUUGCAAGAGAUUCAAAGAUCAGUGGGCAUUGAAAAUGACCAUACCCAUUGCGAAAGAUUCCUAGUUAAAUGUAGAAUCAAUAGAUGCCAUUUGACCUGAGGUGCUGCCUCAACACUUUCAAACCGCCUGCCUUUCGUUAUCAAACAAGUACUGGCAAUCAUCCAUAAGCACCAUAAAUAGCAUAAACCGUCCACUCACACAAACCACUAGUCUCUUAUCCAUCAAUUACAAUCCAAAAUAUCAAGGAACCGCCAUUUUAUCUCUCCACGACCUUUCAUGUCGCACGUCGAAACACCCAGCGCGCGGCAUCGGCUGGCAAUUUUUGUUUUGUUGUAUGUAGUUGCUUGAAUUAAUUCGUUAGAGUCGCCAACUAGUAUUUAAAGGAGAGUCACUAGGAAACCCUGGUGGACUGGUCUUGUCAAAAAUUCACGGGUAAAAAACUGAUUGUGAUUAGGAAAGGUGUUAGCACCCCUAACACACCCUACCUGAGGUAAACUGCAUCGUGGCUUUGAUGUGUUAAAAAAGUUUUAAAAAUUUUAUAUUUUCAUCGAAUUUUAGAAAUACAACUUCCGUACAAGUUUAUACUUCUACACCGUGAUCCAAUCAAAAUAUUAAAUCCUUCUUUAUUCUUUGUUGUCUCACCAUAAAAAAAAAUUCAUAAAACAAAUGUACACAUGCAUUUUUUAUUAUAUAUUCUUUCUUUUUCUUUUUCUUCUUUUUUUUCUUUUGAUUCAAUAACAUACAUACAAAAAUACAAACACACACACAUCUCCCCUUUUUUAUUAUUAUUUACUUUUUUUCUUCUUUUUUUUCUACAUGCAAAACAAAUAACAAAAAUUAAAAAAUCAAGUACAAUUAAAAAUUACAAAAUAAACCCCAAAACUCCAGGAAGUUGCUGGGACCAUCCUCUGGGACUUCGCCGGAACAGUGGGGAACAGUGGCGGCGGGUGGACCUCACGCGCCGCCGUGAUAACACCGGAAAAGGUGGUCCGGCUCACCUUCUCCUCCUCUUCUCUUCUCUGCCGGUGGCGACCUGCAAAAUCAACCAAAAAACGCAACACAAGCAGUUGUUUUUCUGUGUUUUUUAGAUCUGUUUUUUAAUUUUUCGUUUUCUGUCCGUGGUUUAUUUUCGUUUCCCCCUUCGUUCUCUGUUUCAAGCGGCUGCUGGCGACUGGAAAGCUGUUGGCGAUCGUGCUCCUGUCGUGUCUGGUCGGCGGAGCUGGAGGAGGAAAAGGUGUUGGCUGAUCGUCGGCUGGUUUCUGUGGGCGCCGCCGUAUGAGGGCAGGUUGCUGUGGAUGAAGCCAGAGGAGGAGACGAUCUGGUUACCGGGGGUCUGGCGACUGUGUCCCCGUUCGGUUGUUGUGAGAAGACCGAAGAAGAAGAUGUCGGGCCUGCUGGGCAGGCUGUGAGAGAUCGGGAAAGAUGGAGACCGAAGGGGGAACAGCCGUUGCUGAUGGCGAAGGAGACGCUGCUUGGCUGAGAGCGAGAGGGUCUUGAUGGCUCUGAAAUGGCCGGCUAUGCAGGCAACAGCCAACCUUUGUUUCUAGGAGAACCGAGAGAGGGAGGCUGUGGAUUGGAGACGGCGCUGCUGGCUUACUGGCGGUGAAAACCGGCUAAAAGGAGAGUGAGGCAGAUGAAUGAGAGGGUGUCCGGUGCUCUCUGGUUCCUGGCCUCAAGAGAGAAGGAAGGGGAUGAGCAGCAGCUAGUUUCUGUGGGUGAGGAAAAGAAACCAACGGGGUUCCUAGUGGCGAGCUGGAGAGAAAAUGGUGAAUGGAGGGGGGCCGCCUCUGUUUGUUUCUCUUUUGUGGCCAAAGGUGGCCGGCUCAGGAGAGAUGGAGGGCAGGAGGAAGGCUGCCAGAGGAAGAAGAAAAUUCCAAAGGGAAAGGGGGAUCCGCCGUAGCUUUUUUAGAGGAGAAGUGAGAGGCGGCUCUGUGUGCAGCCGGCUGUGCAAGGGCUGAGGAAGAAGAAAAUUAAAACUGGGAGCAGCUCAGGGAACCCGAAAAUGAAAACCAGCAGGGGGGCGGCGGCUGGUGUCCGUGAAGGAGAGGAAAUCAGUUCAGAUUUUUAGGGUUUUUCCCUUUUGUGUUCCCUCCUUCAAAUUACAAAAUACCCCCCCUAAUUUUGAGUUAAAAGCUGCUAUUUAUAGGCAAAAUAAUUUUUCGGGCUUUCAAAUUGGUCCCUCAAUUUUUGUGUUCAAUUCAUUUGGUAAAAAUUAAAUUUGGUCUUAAAAUUUCAAUCUUUUUAAUUCAGUCCAAAUUAAGCUCCCAAACUUAAUUUUUCACCAAUUAAGCCCCCAAAUUAAUUUGACCCAUUUAAAGUAUAAUUAAGUCCUUGCACUUAAUUAAAUCCUUCAAUUGGACCUAAAUUAAUUCUUAAACAUAAUUAAAAUUUAAUUUGGCCCAUGAUUAAAUCAAAUUGGCACAUUAAAAAUUUAAUUAUGUCAUUGGACUUAAUUUUUAUGCAAAUUCAUCCAAUAAUCAUUUAAUUUGACCUUCAAAUAUGCAUUUAAUUUGACCUUCAAUUUUUGCCUAUUUUUGCAGUCUUUUUUUAUCGGCUUUCUCCACAGUGCCAGACUUUAUUUUACUUUUUAAUUUUUUAUUUUGAAAAAAGUAAAUUUUGGGAAUAACCCAAAAUUAGGUUAUGACAGGUAGGAGCCAGCUGACACAGACAGUAAACUGAUUGUUUUGCUUCAAUAUUUCUAGAGGGGGACAACACUCCACGGAACUUAGCACUGGUGACAUAAUCAAUAUUUUGACAAUCCAUGAUCAAGGCAACUACCAUAGAGAAGAUGAUUGGGAGAAACCGCUUAGCAAGUCUAUGUUUCCCGGGAAAAUCACAACCAAAGCUUGUAAUGAACUGUCAUGGGAAACUGAAAGGGGGGGUUUAAAUUCAAUUCAGGUUCAGCUUUCGUAUGCAAUGUGCAAUCAAAAAUUAUCUAGAAAUGUUAAGGAACCUACUGGAACACUUGGUUAGAAAAAAAUAUAAAAGCACCCAUUUUAAGUCAACUCAUUGUCUCUCUACACAUACCCAACCCUGAAACAACCAUCCUUCUACAAAAAGGAAUAAGAUAACAAAAAAAGAAUCAAGGCAAAGGAAUAAAAGAUGCCGCAUUGUUUGCUGGAAAUGGUACAUUUGCGGCUAUUUGGUCACCACUCCACUGCUUCCUCUUAUGGAAACUCUAGCAUAAUCAGCAAACCAAUUGAAUCAAGGAAGCUCCACCUGCCCGUUAUUCAUGCUUUCUGCCACCCACCAUCAUCGUGAAUUUAUGCUCUUAGAUUUGAAAAAUGCCCUCAAUAAGUGAACCAGCCAGGAAGCACUGGCUGGAAGGAUUCGGCAUGUCAAGACCAGCUUCAAUCAUAGGAAAUAAUCUGGUGUUCUCCGGGUCACAUCUGGCUCGCCCCUCCUUGGAGCAGGCUCAAACUGCAAACAAAUUUUGAAGAUAUUAUUUUGAGCCUAACUUAUGUGACAUUACCCAUGGAGUGCUCUAGCAUCAGACACCAACCUGAAUGAAUGUGUGACCCUUGCAGUCAUCAACUUCCAAAAUAGAAGCCAUGUUGCCACAGCGGUAGCAAUAGUUGGGUGCACUAAAGAUAGUAACCACCUUUUGUUCCUGUCACGAGAAAAAAAGCACAAUCAAUCAGAUGAAAUUUGCAAACCAGAGCAAGAAAUUCACCAAAAGAAUUUCUGAAGGUAUAUAUGUUGAUUGUGGAGGUAUAUAUGUUGCCUCAUGUAUUGCGCAUGCAAAUAAAAGAGUUGAUAUUUGCUGUGAUAAGAUUAGGUGCUAACAUUCCAAAAGUAUGUGAUUGAUGGAUUUGAGCGGUGAAUGAUGUGUUAGAAUUGUGUGAAUUUUUUUUACUCUUUUAAUUGACACUAGUAGAAAGAGGGGGCAUGAACAGUGGUAAUUUGACUGUGAUUAAUUGUAAAUUCUUUUGCGAAAGAUAUUUUAAAAUUAAUAUGAAUGAGAUACUGGAGAAAACCAUUAUAGAUGCUGGGCUACUGAUAAUGAAGUUACAGGUGGUGGCAGCGACAAUGAUAACUGUGGUUUUGUAGUGUUUUUAGGGCAAUUUUCUUUUUGGAUCUCAGAGGACCAAAAGAUAAAGAAAGUGUAAGGUCAAAAUCUUCUUCAUCUUCCCCUUCCAAAUCUUGCUGGCUAAUGCUGUUGUUGCUGCUGUUGCUGCUAUCCUUUCUCUUCGUGGAGAUCUCUUGCUCAUUGUUUUCUAAAUCUUCUCGGCUAUUCAUAGUGUGAGUAAAAGAGGGAGAGAGGAUUAGGGUUUUAGUGAAAAGGCAAUGUUAGUAUUUUGGCUAUGAAAACAGAGAGAAAAACGAGAGAGAUGGAUUUGUAAAGGACAUUAAAAAUUGGAGAUAUAGUUAUGGAAGCAGAAUAUAUAAGAUAAAAAAGAGACUACUGGUUAUCUUUCUCUGUGUUUGUUAUGCUGUUCUUCCCCUCCCGGCCGGUCACCUUUUUUACUGGGUCUUUUUCACUCUGUCUCAGCAAGUCUUUAAUUUAAUGUUUUUAUGUGAUAAAUAUUUUGAAAAACUAACGGAUUAAAUAUAAGUUUCAUGGCUAAAGCAACCAUGGAUCCGAUAGAGAGAGCAAGAGAAAUCUCGAAGGCAUGUGAGCAAGAGAAAUCUCGUAAAUAUGAAAUUAAAUUUACGAGACAAUCUAAACAUUAUAUUUAUUAAGAAUAUGCUUAGCCUCCCCAACAAUAAAAUCAAUAUUAGAGUUAGAAGAUACUUGAUGGUUUAGCCCAUUAAUCAACUGCAAGGCUUGCUUUUGCAAACGUUCUGGGUUCGACCCUCUCUGUGUAUCCUGUCACCCCCACGGUGUCUUACUUGCUUACUAGGCUUGCAGGAUGUUUAGUGGGCCCGGGGAUUAGUUGUGAAGUGCGCAAGCUGG
rnacentral:lncRNA from 1 species